rnacentral:lncRNA from 1 species
AAAGGUUUAAAUACCUGGUUCAUCAAAGAUUGGAAGGUUGCCAGAGCAUUCGUGAGACCAAACGACAUUACUAGAAACUCAUAGUGCCCUUCAUGUGUGCGGAACGCAGUUUUCUCCACAUCUUCCUCUUUCAUUCUAAUCUGGUGAUAACCAGAUUUCAGAUCUAAUUUCGAGAAAACCGUUGCCCCAUUCAGCUCAUCUAAUAAUUCCUCUAUCACAGGAAUUGGGAACUUAUCCGAUACUGUCGCCUGAUUUAACUUGCGGUAAUCGACACAAAAUCUCCAUCCACCAUCUUUUUUCUUCACUAACAACACCGGGCUGGAGUAAGGGCUAUGACUAGGGCGAAUAACCCCUGCUUGAAGCAUCUCGACCACCAGUUUUUCUAUUUCUUCUUUCUGCACAUGACCGUAUUUGUAAGGUCUUACGUUGAUAGGUUUAUGGUCAGGUAGGGUUAAUAUUCGGUGAUCAAUAGCUCUUUUUGGAGGUAAUUUCUUCGGUGUCUCAAAUAUCUCCGCAUAAUACUUGAGCAGGGAUCGGAUCAUAGAUAUUUCCUCCUCAUCUCCUUUUAAUCUUGUCCCCAGUUCAUAUUCAUUCUCUACUUCCAUCUCAUAAUUCUGGAAUUCUAAGAGGAAGCCUUGAUCUUCUAUAUGUAAGGAUUCAACUUGCUUACUUCACUAUUUCUCCCUUACAAUGGCCAAAAACAGAGGUAGCCCUCUGCUAUCUUUAUUUAUAUAUAGCCAAAAUGAGUACAGAAAAACAUAAAGAUUCAAGAAAAACAAGGAAUAAUAAAGACAAACCCAGCUUCCUCUAGGAAAAGACUGGAUAUUCCUCUAGGCUAAGCAGCCGCCAACUUCAGGAUAAAAAUAAAACCUACCUCCCCUAGACCUAAAAAACCUAUUUAUAUUCCUUCUCUCAUCUUUCUCUUAUUUCUGUGCCUGGGCCCCACCUGCACGAUCUCCUCCUCUUUUUCCUUCCUCAUUAUUAAUUUGUCCAGUUACUUUUCUGCCCCUCCUUUGAUAUGUAUGAAUAAUUGGAGGUCUUACAAUACCCCGGGGCUCCAAGUUCACCUUGUCCUCAAGGUGAAACUGAGGGAACUGCUGAUUCAAUAGGUAAACUGAUUCCCACGUUGCUUCACUGUCUGGUAAGUUCUUCCAUUUGAUCAGCCACUCAUUGCCUCCUAGCUCCUUGUUCCACCUUUUUCCCAGCACGUUUUCCGGCCACAAUUGUAGUUCAAAAUCCUCAGUUAGUAUAGGCUGUUGUUGCUGGACUACAUGUUGUUUUCCCAACUUCAGUUUCAGUUGAGACACGUUGUUUUCCCAACUUCAGUUUCAGUUGAGACACGUGAAAGACAUUGUGAAUGGCGGCCUCGGGCGGUAGUUGCAAUCGAUAAGCGACCUCUCCUAUCUCUUCAAUAACCUCAUACGGCCCAUAAAAUUUUGGGGAUAGCUUUUCACAUUUCUUCCGAGCUAGUGAUCUUUGUCGAUAGGGUCGUAGUUUCAAAUACACUUCAUCCCCAAUUUUGAAUUUGAGCUCCCUGCGGUUUCGGUCUGCCAUUUUCUUCAUUCUAUUUUGAGCUAUGCAUAGGUUUUCCUUCAGUGCAUUGAGUGCUAAAUCUCUCUCCUUCAACAUGACUUCUACGUCAUUGUUAGGAGAUUGCUUCCAUCCAUAUGACAGCAGUGGCGGGGGAGUUCUUCCAAAAACAGAUUGGUAAGGAGUAGUUUUGGUGGAUGCGUGGAAGGUUGUGUUAUACCAUAAUUCCGCCCAAGGGAUCAGUUUAUCCCAUUUCUUCGGUUGUUCAUUGCAAAAGCAUCUCAAAUAGGUCUCUAGGCAUCUGUUUACACUCUCGGUUUGUCCAUCGGUUUGGGGAUGGAAUGCCGUGCUUCUCUUCAAAAUGGUGUCCAUGGUAGUGAACAACUCCUUCCAGAAAUUGCUAAGGAAGAUCUUAUCACGGUCGGUAAUAAUGGACUUGGGUAUUCCAUGUUUGCUGACCACUUUUUCCAAAAAAAUUGAAGCCACUUGCUUGGCUGUGUACGGGUGUUUCAGAGGCAAGAAGUAGGAGUACUUACUUAGGCGGUCGACGACUACCAUAAUCACGUUGUAACCUCCUGCUAUUGGCAGCCCUUCAAUAAAAUCCAUGGUCCAAUCCUCCAAUAUCUUGUCGGGGAUAGGAAUGGGUUGCAGAACUCCCGCAGGCUUAGUAGCUUCGAACUUAUUACGUUGACAAGUGUCACAUUCUUCUACAUAUCUCUUGAUAUCAGCCUUCAUUCCUUUCCAAAAUAGUUCCCCACUCAUUCUUUUAUAGGUUCUCAAGAAUCCCGAGUGCCCUCCUAAUAUGGAAUCAUGGAACGUGUGUAGAAGACUCGGAAUGAGGGAGGAAUUUCGCGGCAGCACCAUCCUUCCUUUAUAUAGCAGCCUGCCAUUGUUCCACUGGUAUUUCCCACCUUGAUCCACCUCUCCCUUAAGUUCGGCAAUAAUUUUCUGAAGUUCUUGAUCCAUUUCAACUUCCUUCUCUAUUAUCUCUAUAUCAACUAUGCCUGUGGUUGUCAUUGUAUUUAACUCCACCGAAUGGUCCUUCCUUGAGAGAGCAUCCGCCACCUUAUUCUGCAGACCCGGCUGGUAUAAGAUCUCAAAGUCAUACCCCAAAAGUUUUGUGAGCCACUUUUGGAAUUGAGGCUGAACUUCCCUCUGUUCUAACAGAAAUUUCAGAGCCUUCUGAUCUGAAACAAUUGUGAACUUUCUGCCCAGGAGAUAAUGUCUCCAUUUUUGCACCGAAAGGACAACCGCCAUCAAUUCCCUUUCAUAGAUCGACUUACCCUGGGCUCUUGGGGACAGUUUCUGGCUGAAGAAUGCGAUGGGAUGACCAUCCUGUGAUAAAACUGCACCUAAACCUACUCCUGAAGCAUCAGUUUCGAUUGUGAAGGGCUGAGACCAAUCCGGCAAUGCUAAUACCGGUAAGGUUGUCAUUGCUAGCUUCAGCUGGUCAAACGCUAUUGUAGCUUCCUCAUUCCAAUGGAAUGCAUUUUUCUGAAGUAAUUUGGUUAAGGGUGCAGCUAUUUCUCCAUAGCUUUUCACAAAUCUUCUAUAAUACCCAGUCAGUCCAAGGAAUCCCCUCAGCCCAGUUAUAUCUUUCGGCCGUGGCCAAUUUACCAUACUGCGAAUCUUGUCCUCAUCAGCCUCCACUCCUCUGCUGGAAAUCAGAUGACCCAAAUAUUGAACUUGGGAAUGAGCAAUGACACAUUUAGACCUAUUUGCAAACAAUUCAUGGUCCCUCAAGAUAGCAAAAACCAUUCCUAAAUGUUUCAUGUGCUCAUCUAUGUCCACACUAUAAACUAGAAUGUCAUAAAAAAAAACCAGGACACACCUUCGAAGGAAUGGUUUGAACACCUCGUUCAUGAGAGAUUGGAAGGUGGCAGGAGCAUUCGUAAGGCCGAAAGGCAUCACCAAGAACUCAUAAUGUCCUUCAUGCGUGCGGAAAGCUGUUUUCUCCACAUCUUCCUCCCUCAUCCUAAUCUGGUGGUAUCCAGAUUUAAGGUCUAACUUUGAGAAAGCUGUCGCACCAUGAAGUUCAUCUAAGAGUUCUUCGAUCACGGGAAUUGGAAAUUUAUCAGCCACCGUUACUUGAUUGAGUUUCCUGUAAUCUACACAAAAUCUCCACCCUCCAUCUUUUUUCUUCACUAAGAGGACCGGGCUCGAAUAUGGGCUGCGGCUUGGACGAAUCACCCCAGCUUGUAACAUUUCUAACACCAAUUUUUCAAUCUCUUCCUUUUGUACAUGGCCAUACUUAUAUGGUCUUACAUUAAUUGGUUUCUGAUCGGCCACGGUCAGAAUGCGAUGGUCUAUGGCUCUCCUUGGCGGUAAACCCGUGGGCAACCUAAAGACAUCUGCAUAUUGCUCGAGCAAUCGCUGAACCAUGGGUAAUCCUUCUUCCUUUCCCUUCAAUUCAGCUUCUGUUUCCGAUUCUCCUUCAUAGUUUACUUCAUAGUUUUGGAAUUCCAAGAGGAAUCCUUGGUCCCCGGAUUGCCACGUUUUCUCUAAGGUUCUCAAUGAACAUUCUGACUUCGUUAGAGAAGGGUCACCUUUUAGGAUUAUUCUUCUACCCUUCAUCCAAAACGUCAUGGUUAGGGAUGGCCAGUGAACCUUCAUGGUUCCUGUCGAAUCUAGCCAUUGCAUCCCAAGCACCAAGUCUACCGUUCCUAACUCUACCGCUAGGAAAUCUGCUACGAUUGUUAACUCUUUUAACUUCACCUUCACCCUCUUGCAAAUCCCACUUCCUUCACAUUGGUUGCCAUUCCCAAUGGUAACUCCAAAACGAGUUCCCGGAUCGAUGCUCAGCUGUAGUUCAUCUACCAACACUUAGCUGAUGAAGUUAUUGGUCGCCCCGCUGUCAAUCAGAAUAACUACUUCCCUUCCGUUCACAUGUCCUUUUAAUUUCAUCGUCCCCUUUGAUGUAACUCCCGUGAUCAACCUCAAUUCAAUAGGGUUAUCCAUAUUCAAUUCCAGAUGAUUCAGUUCUAUUACUUCGCUUGCCUCAUCCUCUGUAUCCUCUUCCCUUUUGUGGUCUUCUUCCUCAUUUAGUAUAAGGAGCAUCAACUCUCUUUUUUCUCUCCCUUUACAUCGAUGGCCUGGGGCGUACUUUUCAUUACAUCUGAAACAAAGCCCCUUAUCCAGCCUUGCUCUAAAUUCCGUAUCCGACAGCCGUUUAAUUGGGAGAUCUUUUUUCUGGUAAUCAUUUUUCAAUGGAAUAGUUACCUGCUUCAUCACAAACUCUGUCUUUUUACUUUCUGUCUUCUCAUUUUUUCCUUGAAAUUUGCUGCUGUUCUCAUUCCUUUUGGGCUCAACUAUAUCCAACUCUUCCAUCGCCAGUUUUAAUGCUAUAUUCCUAUCAUUCGCCAGCUGAGCUUCCUUCAUACAUUCCUCUAAAGUUUGAGGGUGUCUGCUGAUUACUUCCGCUUGCAGUGAGGGUUCCAGACCCGUUAAAAACGCAUCCAGCAGAACACUUUCUGCCAUGUCCGGGAGGGGGCUGAGUAUGUAACAAACUUCUUAACGUACUCGCUGUAUGAGCCUUCUUGCUUAAUACGGAUUAAUCUUGCCCCCAAGCUCUGCUGUCCUGUAUCAUUAAAGAAAUCAAACAUCCUUUCCUUCAAGUCCUCCCAAGAUUCCACCCUCUUUCUACGAUUACUCCAUCUAAACCAGUCUACCUCUUCCUGUCCAAAACUCACGACUGCUACUUUGACCUUCUCAGCUUCCGGUAAGUCAUUUAUAUCAAAAAAAUGUUCUGCUCGGUACGCCCAGGAUUCAGGGUUCACCCCUGUAAACAGUGGCAUUUCUAAUUUUUUGUACUUACUUCGGUCUGCGCUGCUUCCACCCGACUCGACUGUGGUUCCGGCCUCUUCCAGUUUUCCCUUCAGUUUCAACCUGAUGUCGUCCGUAGUCCCUGCUUCUUCUUUUUUCUUAGCACCAUGGUUUUCUCUUAGCUCGCCUGUCAUUCGAUCCAUCGAUUUCUUCAUUUCCAGCAUCAUCUCCUUCAGACUCAUAAUUUCCUUUUCAGUACCUUCUACCCGUUCUUCUAUCUGUCUUUGAGCCAUCAGACGCGUGAUCACCCCCAGUGUGGAGGCUCUGAUACCAAUAUAUAAGGAUUCAACUUGCUUACUUCACUAUUUCUCCCUUACAAUGGCCAAAAACAGAGGUAGCCCUCUGCUAUCUUUAUUUAUAUAUAGCCAAAAUGAGUACAGAAAAACAUAAAGAUUCAAGAAAAACAAGGAAUAAUGAAGACAAACCCAGCUUCCUCUAGGGAAAGACUGGAUAUUCCUCUAGGCUAAGCAGCCGCCAACUUCAGGAUAAAAAUAAAACCUACCUCCCCUAGACCUAAAAAACCUAUUUAUAUUCCUUCUCUCAUCUUUCUCUUAUUUCUGUGCCUGGGCCCCACCUGCACGAUCUCCUCCUCUUUUUCCUUCCUCAUUAUUAAUUUGUCCAAUUACUUUUCUGCCCCUCCUUUGAUAUGUAUGAAUAAUUGGAGGUCUUACACUAUAUCCCACGUUUUUUCCAAUGUCUUCAAAGAACAUUCAGCUUUCACUAAGGAUGGAUCUCCUCUUAACACGAUUUGCUUGUCUUUUGCCCAAAAGGUCAUGGUUAAUGAUGGCCAAUGUACCUUCAUUGUGCCGGUGGUAUCUAGCCAUUGCAUCCCUAAAAUCACGUCAAUAUUUCCUAGUUCCACCACUAGAAAAUCAGUUAUAACUGUCAUUUCUUUCAAUCUCAGUUCCACCUUUCUGCAAAUACCUUUCCCUUUACAGCGGGUCCCGUCUCCAAUAGUCACUCCAAAUUGUGUACCGGGUUCAAUGUUCAACCCUCCUUCCAUUGCCACUGCUUCAUGGAUGAAGUUGUUCGUAGCUCCACUGUCGAUGAGAAUCACCACCUCCCUUCCUUUUACAUGCCCCUUCAGUUUCAUUGUCCCUUUGGAUGUUAACCCCGUGAGUGUCUUCAAUUCAAUUUCGGUGGUUUCAGCAACAACUAACUGGUUCAGCUCCAUUACUUCUUCGGUCUCUUCCAUUUUGACUUCCUCCCCGCCACUCUCUUCUUCGUUAAGUAUAAAUAACAUUAAUUCCCUUUUCUCUCUCAUCUUGCAUCGGUGUCCCGGUGAGUACUUCUCAUUGCAUCUAAAACACAAACCCUUGUCCAAUCUUGCUCUGAAUUCCGUGUCCAAGAGUCUUUUAACUGGAGGUUCAUUUUUCUGGUAGUUUCCUUUAAUGGGAAUAGUGACUUGCUUCAUGGGGAACUCAGUCUUCUUUGGUGAACUUUUAUCUUGACUGCUUUGUCCCUUGCUUGAGCCUCCUCCUUCCCUAGUCACACUGUUUACCCAUUCUGCCUUGGCUAAUUUCAAGGCUAGGUUUCUGCCACUUACCAGUUGUGCCUCCUUCAUACAUUCCUCUAAGGUUUGAGGAUGUCUACUAAUAACUUCUGCUUGAAGAGCCGGUUCUAGACCAGUCACGAAUGCAUCUAAGAGCACGCUUUCAGCCAUGUGCAGUAGUGGUGCAGAAUAUUGUACGAAUUUCUUGACAUAAUCAUUAUAGGAUCCAUCUUGUUCUAUUCGAAUCAGCCUUGCACCUAAGCUCUUCUGCCCAGAAUCUCGAAAAAAUUCAAACAUCCUUACCUUCAAAUCUUCCCAUCCUUCCACCUUCUUUCUAUGGUUACUCCAACGGUACCAAUCGAUUUCAUCUUGUCCGAAACUAACCACUGCUACUUUCACUUUUUCUGCUUCCGGUAGGCUAUUAAUUUCGAAAAAAUGCUCAGCUCUAAACACCCAUGACUCAGGAUUUUCCCCGGUGAAAAUCGGCAUUUCCAGUUUCUUAUAUUUGCUUCGGUCGACAGUUACUACAUUGUUUUCCCCUGGAUUGUCGGCUUCUUCCCAUUUUCCUUUUAACUUCAUGACUGAUCCAUCAGAAGUUCCGGAUUCAUCUCGCCUUUUGUAGCUGCUGUUUUCUUUCAUUUCAUCAGCCAGUCUAUCCAUGGAUUUCUUCAUUUCCAGAAUCAUUUCCUUCAAGCCCAGUAUUUCUUUCUCUGUUCCAUCUAUUCUUUCUUCUAUUUGCCUUUGCGCCAUCAGUCGCGUCACCACCCCAGCGUUUGGGCUCUGAUACCAGUUGUAGAGACUCCACAAAUAAAAUACUAAAUUACCCAAACAGUUGGCAAACAGAGACAGCACUCUGUAGAUCUUUAUUUAUAUAUAAAUGCCAAGAGAUACAGUAGAAGGAAAUAUAAAAGAAAGCAAUAAAGAUGAUAAUAUCAUGUCAAACCUCCCCAGGAAAAGAUAGUAGUCCUUCCUAGACCUAGCAGCCUCUACAGACCAAAUGAAGACAAAAAGUUAACCUAGCCCCCAAUCCCGAUAAGGCCUUAUUUAUAGCUCUUUUCUCAUUCUUCCCCGUGGGCCCCACUCUCAUGUUCUUUUCCUAAUAUUCUCCCCUUUUCUGCUGCGUGAGCUUUUACGUUUUUACCCCUCCUUUUGUAUGUAUGGAUAAUAGGGGGCCUUACAAAUUUCUUCCAACACUAUGAAACAUUUAUGUUAUAGUUUUAUUAUUGUAAACAUUUUUGCUAAACAUCAUUGUAAUUUCCAAACACAACUCUGCCAAAGUUCCCAAGAUAGUUCUAUAGCAAUGUUCCACAGGCUAUCUUGCAAGUGAUGUGGAACUCCUUUGCUUUUUUGAAUAGUAAGCUGGCCUUCCUCUUUUGUUAUGCUUUGUUUUGUUCUUAAUACUUGCUUUUAUCUUCGCCUAUUUCAUUCCUAGUUGAUAUAUUACAUAGUCCUCUUAAAUCUACAUUCUUUUUCUGUUUUAUGAUUCGCUUGAGUUUAAUGACUAACUUUGGCAAAAUAAUGUUGAACUAUAUUACAUGUUUUGCAUCUAAACCUCAAUUGAAAAGGUUUGUUACCUGUAUCAUUAUAAGGUUUCCAUCCAUCUUUCUUAGGCCAUCAAUGAAGUUUUUGCUUAGAUCUAUCUUAGUUCGGCCUCUUUAAAAUGUUACUCCAUACAAGGAAGAUCGAAAGUUGUGAUUACAAAGUGUAGAUUUGUAUUGUAUAGUUGCCUUAGUUAUUUUUUUAAUUAUUCUUUUUAGACGUUAUUUCCUUUUAUAAUUAGUUCUCUUUAGUUAGAAUUUCUAUUAAAUUAUACUUACCUAUUAUCAAGUCCUUUUUCAUUAAUAAGAGAAAAUGGAGUUUUUCUCAAAUAACAAAAAGUGAUUAUUUAAGAUACUAUGCUAAAGGGAACACAUCCAAUUACCAUGUUGAGAAUAUUAUCUUUGCCUAUUGAAGGUCUUGGAUUCUUGGUCAACUUUGAAUGCGAAUUUUUCUUAGUUGAUUAUUAAAUAUCAGGGUAAAAAGAUCUUAUAUUGUAAUGUUGUUUUGCUUCACUUGCAUCAUACACUAAAACACAAGAUUAAAAAAAAAGUUAUAUUUAGACUUUUGUAUGGUAGAUUAGGUGUUCUCUUUGAAUUGGUGUUGGUAUUGGCUUUCUAAUUAUGAUAUGAUUUUGGGAACCUUUGAAUUAUGUUCUUCAAACCUUCUCUCUUCGAUUGAAGCUUAUUAUAUUUUAUCGUUGUUAGUAUGUUUUUUUUCUUCCAUUUUUUCCCUUCUAAUAUUUUUAUUUGAUAUAUAAUGUGCAUAAAAGAGAAAGUAGUUAAUGUGUUUUACAUUGUUGUGUUGUGCAAAGUUGGUGCUGUUGGUUCAAAUAUUUAAGAUUUGGUGAAGCACUUGGAAUAAGUUCAAACUUUUAAUCUGUAGGAUAAUUUACUUUAUAAGAAUCACACAUUUACCUUUUUUUUCUUUUUUGAAGUAGGAAAGGAGCCUCUUCAUUAAGCUGAAAAUGAAUAGACAAGACAAAAGGUAAUACAAAGAAGCCCUAGGAUCAGUGAGUGCACUAGGACAUCUCAUCUAUGUUGACACCUACUUAGCAUUCUCACCAUAUCGAGACUUAAACCAAAAGACUAAACCAACGACAAGGUUUAGAAUAGAUCAUACAAACUGCCCAAUAACUAUACAACAUAGAUUUAAGACCACUAGAAAUCCAAAAGAAAUAAAAUAAGAGUACAGUAGUGGACUAAGAAUUAAAAAUGAAAGUCGGCCAAUUAUGACUUAUAUCUUGUAUGGAGAAAUCUUUGAAGUCUUUUGAAAGAGAGCAUCAAGAAGAAGCAUUGAUUCUAGCCAUUUCGACUCGAGUUGUCCAAGAGGAAGCUUUAUUUUGAAAUGUUAGUUGAUUAUGUUCAAACCAAAUUUCUGGUAAAAUGGCCUUUACUGCAUCUAACCAAAUCAAUCUUGGUUUCUUCUUGAGAAUGGGACAUGAAAUAAGCUGGACCGUGUUCUCCUAAAUCUAUAGUCGAAAACCCAAUUCAAAUGAAGAUAGCCAAGUAAGUCAAACCAACACUUCUUUUCAUGUAAGCAGGAGAAGAAAAUAUGAUGUAAAUCUUCUAAAGCAUGCAAACACAAGGGACAAAUAUGAGGAGAUAAACUGUGAGAGGAAAGUUUCAUUUGCAAAACUUCUGCACAGUUCAUAGUCCAUUUCGCUUUCUCCAAAGCGUGAUAUUCACUCUUCUAGGGCUUUUUGUCUUCCAAAUUGUCGAGUAUAAAUGUUUUUCAAUUGGGGAGGCAAUGGAGAGAUGGUUGACUAAUGAAUGAACCAAAAACAUCCCAUUUGAUUCUGAUUUCUAGGUUCUUUUAUUUUGGGAGACUUGAAAUUCAUCUAUUUCUUCAACUUUUAGAAGUCUCCUGAAAUUUAGAGCCCAUGAAGUAGUGGAAGAGUCCCAAAACUCCUUUACAUCUCCAUUAUUAGAGUUCAAAGACAAUCUAAACGAUCUUGAAAAGAAACAACAUCUGCCCAAAAAUCAUUCCAAAAUGCUAUUCUUCAACCAUCACCGAACUUGAACAAUGCCUAGGAAUCCACUUGAAGCUAGCAUCUCGAAAUGCUAAUCCAGGGACUAUGGAAACUGCAAGUGACAAUUCCUUUAGUAUGCCAUCCAAAUUAACUUUCUCCAUGGAUACUCUUCACCACUUUAGCCCAAAGGGAAUUCUUUUCAUUUAUAAAUCUCCAUCCCCAUUUGAACUUUUUUCGUAGGUUAUGAGUUACGAUCCUACACGUAAGCUAUUUUAGGACAUUUUGAAAGUUCAAGUGAUACUUAGACAGGUUUUUAACUCGGUUUAGGUUAGUUUGAAACUAAGUUUGUUGACCUUAUCCAAUUGGUUGCCAUUUUCGGUCUUGAAGUGCCCUUUUCACACUUUUUGAACUUUUUGGUAGGCUAUGGGUUACCAACUUACACUUAAACUUUGUUAGGUUGUUUUGAAAGUCCAAGUGAUACUUGGACACGCCUUGACCACUUUUUAGGUUGGUUUGGAACUAAGUUUGUUGCACUUGCGCACUUGGUUGCCAUUUUGGGUCGUGUAGUGUUUCCUUUUUUUCCAUACUUCUUGAACUUUUUGGUAGGUUAUGAGUGAUGAAUUUACAAAUAAACAUUCUUAGGUCGUUCUGAAAGUUCAAGUGAUACUUAAACACGGUUUUGAAAUUUUUUUAGAUUUGUUUAAGACUAAGUUUGUUUCACUUGCAUACUUGGUUGCCAUUUUAGGUCUCAAAGUGCAUUUUUCACGCAUUUUGAUUUUUUUGUUAGUUUGUGAGUUACGAACUUACACUUAACGAUUGUUAGGUCGUUUUAAACACAUUUUGCGUUGGUUUGAAACUAAGUUUGUUGCACUUACACAUUGGAUUGAAAUGUUGGGUCUUGAAGUACUUUUUUUUCACACUUUUUUGAAAUUUUUUUAGGUUGUGAGUUACGAACUUACGCUUGAGUAUUGUUUGGUCGGUUUGAAAUCUUAGACACGUUUUGCACUCUUUUUAGGAUGGCUUGAAACUAAGUCCGUUGCACUUACAUACUUCGUUGCCAUUUUGGGUCUUCAAGUGCUUUUUUUACACUUUUUGAAAUUUUGGUAGGUUGUGAGUUACAAACUUACACUUAAGCAUUGUUUGGUGGUUUUGAAAGUUUAAGUGAUACGUACACAUGUUUUGAAUACAUUUUAGGUUAGAUUGAUUUUGUUGCACUUGGUUGUCAUUUUUGGUCUUGAAAUGCUUUUUUCAACCUUUUUGGUAGAUCAUUACGAACCUACAUUUAGGAUUUGCUAGGUCGUUUUGAAAACUCAAGUAAUACCUAGACACGUUUUGAGCACGUUCUAGGUUGAUUUGAACUAAGUUUGUUACAAUUACACACUUGGUAGCCAUUUUGGGUCUUGUAGUGCUUUUUUCAUACUAUUUGAACUUUUUUCGUAGGUUAUGAGUUACGAAUCUACACGUAAGCUGUUUUAGGUCGUUUUGAAAGUUCAAGUGAUACUUAGACACAUUUUGUUCAAGUGAUACUGUAUUAGGUCGUUUUGAAGUGAACUUUUUUCUUCUUGUAUUGACUGUUUUCAUAUUUCUUCAUGGUUUGUAUUCAUGGUAUUUAUUUUCGUAAUGAAUCUUUCAUGUUCUGGUAAACAUUGCAGAAACACAUAAUUUCAGCAAUCUGUCAAAGAGUUGAAGGAGAAGACAGAAGAACUUAAAGGUCACAUGAAGACCUAAAAGUUAGGUAAUUUUUUGAAAACUUUUUUCUUUGUCUUGCUUAGUUUUAGUGGUAUUUGUUAACAGGCUGAGACAUACUCUUGUAUGCCAAGGCUGGGUGGCCAAUUCAAUGGAUGGCCUGAGACGGUGAAAUGACGAGUGUAGAACAAAGUAGACAAUCGAGCAGAUUUACAAGUAGGAGGAUGGUGUUUGGUCUUACUCAAAAGCUACUGCUAGAAAGGUGAUUCUCCCUUUAUUUACACAUGUUAUCUAUAUUUAAUUACUGUUUUUAUGUGAUGGUGAAUAAAUAUUUAAGUUGUUUCAAGUUUGUACAUCAUGCUUGAGUUAAUACAUUUCCCAACUCGCACUAAUUUUAAAGUUGAGACUAAGUUUGUUGCACUUACACACUUGGUUGCCAUUUUGGAUUUUGGAGUGCUUUUUCUACAUUUUUUGAACAUUUUGGUAGGUUAUGAUUUAUGAAGUAAGACUAAAGCAUUAUUAGGUCGUUUUUAAAGUUCGAGUGAUACUUAAACAUUUUUUGAACACCUGUUAGGUUGUUACAAACUAAGUUAGUUUUUACAUACAGCCAUGGUUGCCAUUUUGAGUCUUGAAAGAUUUUUUUUCACACUUUUUGAAAUUUUUGGUAAGUCAUGAGUUAUAAACUUACACUUAAGCGUUGUUAGGUUGUUUGAAAACUUAUACGUGUUUUGAAUACUUGUUAGGUUUGUAUAGAACUAAGUUCGUUGCACUUACACACUUGACAUUUUGGGUUUUGGAGUGUCUUUUUAAAAAAUUUUGAACUUUUUGCUAGUUUAUGACUUAUGAACUUGUAUUGAAUAUUUGUUAGGUCGUUUUGAUAAUUCAAGUGAUACUUAGAAAAUGCAACCGAGCUUAAACAAUUCCGCUCAUUUUUCUAAAAUUUUUUAGUUUAACCUAUUGAAUAAAAUUCGAUGGAAAUUCUUGUUUUCUUUUUGUAGGAAUAAAAGGAAAUGAAAUAUAACCAAACUUGGGAUCUUUGCAAACAAUCUUCCAUGAAGAAACUAGGCUACAAGUGGUUUGGGGUUUGGGUUUUUAGGGCUUAGGGCUUUUUGGGCUUAUGGCUUAGGGCUUUUAGCGCUUUUAGGGCUUUUAGGACGCUUAGGGCUUUUAGGUUUUAGGGCUUAGGGCUUUUAGGGCUUAGGGCUUUUAGGGCUUAUGGCUUUAGGGUUUAGGGUUUAGGGGUUUAGGGUUUAGGGCGCUUAGGGCUUUUAGGGAUUUUAGGGCGCUUAGGGAUUUUAGGUUUUAGGGCUUAGGGCUUUUAGGGAUUAUGGCUUAAAGCUUAGCGCUUUUAGGGCUUAGGGCUUAGGGCUUAGGGCUUUAAGGGCUUUAAGGGUAUUUAGGGAUAAGGGAUUUUAGGGCUUUUAGGGCUUUUAGGGCUUUUGGGGCUUUAAGGGCUUUUAGGGCUUAGGGCGUUUGGCUUAGGGCUUAGGGAUUAGGGCUUGGGCUUUUAGGGCUCGGGCUUUGGGCUUUUAGGACUUUUAGUGCUCUUAGGGCUUUUUGGGCGCUUAGGGCUUAUGACUUUUAAGACUUAGGGCUUUGGGCUUUUAGGGCUUUUAGGACUUUUAGGGCUUUUAGGGCGCUUAUGGCUUUUAGCUUUUAGGGCUUAGGGCUUUUUGGGCUUUUAGGGCUUAGGGCUUAGGGCUUAGGCUUUUAGGGCUUUUAGGGCUUGGGCUUUGGGCGUUUAGGGCUUUUAGGGCUUUUAGGACGCUUAGGGCUUUUAGGUUGUAGGGCUUAGGGCUUUUAGCGCUUAUGGCUUUUAGGGCUUAGCGCUUAGGGCUUAGGGCUUUUACGGCUUUUAGGGCUUUUACGACUUUUAGAGCUUUUAGGGCUGAGGUAUUAGGGCUUAGGCCUUAGGGCUGAGGGCUCAGGGCUUAGGGCUUAGGGUUUAGGGUUUAGGGUUUAGGGUUUAGGGUUUAGGGCUUAGUUCUUGUGCUUUUAUUGCUUAGGGCUUAGGGCUUGUAGGGCUUAGGGCUUAUGGCUUAGGGCUUGGGCUUUUAGGGCUUGGGCUUUGGGCUUUUAGGGUGUUUAGGGCUUUUAGGUCGCUUAAGUCGUUUAUGGCUUUUAAGGCGUUUAGGGCUUAGGGCUUUUAGGGCUUAGGGGUUUUGACUUACAACUUAGGGCUUGGGAUUUUAGGGCUUAGGGCUUGGGCUUUGGCCUUUUAGGGCUUUUAGGACUCUUAGGGCUUUUACGGCGCUUAGGGCUUUUAGGUUUUAGGGCUUAGGGCUUAGGGCUUUUAGGGCUUAUAGCUUUUUAGGGUUUAGGGUUUUUAGGGUUUUUUAGGGCUUUUAGGGCGCUUAGGGCUUAAGGCUUAUGGCUUGGGCUUUUAUGGCUUGGGCUUUGGGUUAUAGGGCUUAGGGAUUUUAGGGCUUAUGGUUUUUAGGGCUUAGGGCUUAGGGCUUAGGGCUUUUAGGGCUUAGGGGUUUUGGCUUACGGCUUAGGGCUUGGGAUUUUAGGGUUUAGGGCUUUUAGGGCUUACCGCUUAGGGCUUAGGGCUUUAGGCUUUUAGGGCGCUUGAGGAUUUUAGGGCGCUUAGGGCUUUUAGGGCUUAUAGCUUUUAGGGUUUAGGGUUUUUAGGGCUUUUAGGGUGCUUAGGGCUUGGGCUUUUAGGGCUUGGGCUUAGGGUUUUAGGGCUUGGGGAUUUUAGGGCUUAUGGCUUUAGUGUUUAGGGUUUAGGGUUUAGGGUUUAGGGCGCUUAGGACUUUUAGGGAUUUUAGGGCUCUUAGGGCUUUUAGGUUUUAAGGCUUAGGGCUUUUAGGGAUUAUGGCUUAGUGCUUUUAGGGCUUAGGGCUUUUAGGGCUUUUUGGGCUUAUGGCUUAGGGCUUUUAGCGCUUUUAGGGCUUUUAGCGUUUUUAGGGUUUUUAGGGCUCUUAGGGCUUUUAGGUUUUAGGGCUUAGGGCUUUUAGGGCUUUAGGGUUUAGGGUUUAGGGGUAUAGGGUUUAGGGCGCUUAGGGCUUUUAGGGAUUUUAGGGCGUUUAGGGAUUUUAGGUUUUAGGGCUUAGGGCUUUUAGGGAUUAUGGCUUAAAGCUUAGCGCUUUUAGGGCUUAGGGCUUAGGGCUUAGGGCUUUAAGGGCUUUAAGGGUAUUUAGGGAUAAGGGAUUUUAAGGCUUUUAGGGCAUUUAGGGCUUUUGGGGCUUUUAGGGCUUUUAGGGCUUAGGGCGUUUGGCUUAGGGCUUAGGGAUUAGGGCUUGGGCUUUUAGGGCUCGGGCUUUGGGCUUUUAGGACUUUUAGUGCUCUUAGGGCUUUUUGGGCGCUUAGGGCUUAUGACUUUUAAGACUUAGGGCUUUGGGCUUUUAGGGCUUUUAGGACUUUUAGAGCUUUUUAGGGCGCUUAUGGCUUUUAGCUUUUAGGGCUUAGGGCUUUUUUGGGCUUUUAGGGCUUAGGGCUUAGGGCUUAGGCUUUUUAGGGCUUUUAGGGGCUUGGGCUUUGGGCGUUUAGGGCUUUUAGGGCUUUUAGGACGCUUAGGGCUUUUUAGGUUGUAGGGCUUAGGGCUUUUAGCGCUUUAUGGCUUUUAGGGCUUAGCGCUUAGGUCUUAGGGCUUUUACGGCUUUUAGGGCUUUUACGACUUUUAGAGCUUUUAGGGCUGAGGUAUUAGGGCUUAGGCCUUAGGGCUUAGGCCUUAGGGCUGAGGGGUCAGGGCUUAGGGCUUAGGGUUUAGGGUUUAGGGUUUAGGGUUUAGGGUUUAGGGCUUAGUUCUUGUGCUUUUAUUGCUUAGGGCUUAGGGCUUGUAGGGCUUAGGGCUUAUGGCUUAGGGCUUGGGCUUUUAGGGCUUGGGCUUUUAGGGCUUGGGCUUUUAGGGCUUUGGGCUUUGGGCUUUUAGGGUGUUUAGGGCUUUUUAGGUCGCUUAAGUCGUUUAUGGCUUUUAAGGCGUUUAGGGCUUAGGGCUUUUAGGGCUUAGGGGUUUUGGCUUACAACUUAGGGCUUGGGAUUUUAGGGCUUAGGGCUUGGGCUUUGGCCUUUUAGGGCUUUUAGGACUCUUAGGGCUUUUACGGCGCUUAGGGCUUUUAGGUUUUAGGGCUUAGGGCUUAGGGCUUUUAGGGCUUAUAGCUUUUAGGGUUUAGGGUUUUUAGGGUUUUUAGGGCUUUUAGGGCGCUUAGGGCUUAAGGCUUAUGGCUUGGGCUUUUAUGGCUUGGGCUUUGGGUUUUAGGGCUUAGGGAUUUUAGGGCUUAUGGUUUUUAGGGCUUAGGGCUUAGGGCUUAGGGCUUUUAGGGCUUAGGGGUUUUGGCUUACGACUUAGGGCUUGGGAUUUUAGGGCUUAGGGCUUUUAGGGCUUACCGCUUAGGGCUUAGGGCUUUAGGCUUUUAGGGCGCUUGAGGGUUUUAGGGCGCUUAGGGCUUUUAGGGCUUAUAGCUUUUAGGGUUUAGGGUUUUUAGGGCUUUUAGGGUGUUUAGGGCUUGGGCUUUUAUGGCUUGGGCUUUUAGGGCUUGGGCUUAGGGUUUUAGGGCUUGGGGAUUUUAGGGCUUAUGGCUUUAGUGUUUAGGGUUUAAGGUUUAGGGUUUAGGGCGCUUAGGACUUUUAGGGAUUUUAGGGCUCUUAGGGCUUUUAGGUUUUAAGGCUUAGGGCUUUUAGGGAUUAUGGCUUACUGCUUUUAGGGCUUAGGGCUUUUAGGGCUUUUUGGGCUUAUGGCUUAGGGCUUUUAGCGCUUUUAGGGCUUUUAGGGCUCUUAGGGCUUUUAGGUUUUAGGGCUUAGGGCUUUUAGGGCUUUAGGGUUUAGGGUUUAGGGGUUUAGGGUUUAGGGUUUAGGGCGCUUAGGGCUUUUAGGGAUUUUAGGGCGCUUAGGGAUUUUAGGUUUUAGGGCUUAGGGCUUUUAGGGAUUAUGGCUUAAAGCUUAGCGCUUUUAGGGCUUAGAGCUUAGGGCUUAGGGCUUUAAGGGCUCUAAGGGUAUUUAGGGAUAAGGGAUUUUAGGGCUUUUAGGGCAUUUAGGGCUUUGGGCGUUUAGGGCUUUUAGGGCUUUUAGGACGCUUAGGGCUUUUAGGUUGUAGGGCUUAGGGCUUUUAGCGCUUAUGGCUUUUAGGGCUUAGCGCUUAGGGCUUAGGGCUUUUACGGCUUUUAGGGCUUUUAAGAAUUUUAGAGCUUUUAGGGCUGAGGUAUUAGGGCUUAGGCCUUAGGGCUUAAGCCUUAGGGCUGAGGGGUCAGGGCUUAGGGCUUAGGGUUUAGGGUUUAGGGUUUAGGGUUUAGGGUUUAGGGUUUAGGGCUUAGUUCUUGUGCUUUUAUUGCUUAGGGCUUAGGGCUUGUAGGGCUUAGGGCUUAUGGCUUAGGGCUUGGGCUUUUAGGGCUUGGGCUUUGGGCUUUUAGGGUGUUUAGGGCUUUUAGGUCGCUUAAGUCGUUUAUGGCUUUUAAGGCGUUUAGGGCUUAAGGCUUUUAGGGCUUAGGGGUUUUGGCUUACGACUUAGGGCUUGGGAUUUUAGGGCUUAGGGCUUGGGCUUUGGCCUUUUAGGGCUUUUAGGACUGUUAGGGCUUUUACGGCGCUUAGGGCUUUUAGGUUUUAGGGCUUAGACUUAGGGCUUUUAGGGCUUAUAGCUUUUAGGGUUUAGGGUUUUUAGGGUUUUUAGGGCUUUUAGGGCGCUUAGGGCUUAAGGCUUAUGGCUUGGGCUUUUAUGGCUUGGGCUUUGGGUUUUAGGGCUUAGGGAUUUUAGGGCUUAUGGUUUUUAGGGCUUAGGGCUUAGGGCUUAGGGCUUUUAGGGCUUAGGGGUUUUGGCUUACGGCUUAGGGCUUGGGAUUUUAGGGCUUAGGGCUUUUAGGGCUCACCGCAUAGGGCUUAGGGCUUUAGGCUUUUAGGGCGCUUGAGGGUUUUAGGGCGCUUAGGGCUUUUAGGGCUUAUAGCUUUUAGGGUUUAGGGUUUUUAGGGCUUUUAGGGUGCUUAGGGCUUGGGCUUUUAUGGCUUGGGCUUUGGGUUUUAGGGCUUAGGGAUUUUAGGGCUUUUAGGGCAUUUAGGGCUUUUGGGGCUUUUAGGGCUUAGGGCGUUUGGCUUAGGGCUUAGGGAUUAGGGCUUGGGCUUUUAGGGCUCGGGCUUUGGGCUUUUUAGGACUUUUAGUGCUCUUAGGGCUUUUUGGGCGCUUAGGGCUUAUGACUUUUAAGACUUAGGGCUUUGGGCUUUUUGGGCUUUUAGGGCUUUUAGGACUUUUAGGGCUUUUAGGGCGCUUAUGGCUUUUAGCUUUUAGGGCUUAGGGCUUUUUGGGCUUUUAGGGCUUAGGGCUUAGGGCUUAGGCUUUUAGGGCUUUUAGGGCUUGGGCUUUGGGCGUUUAGGGCUUUUAGGGUUUUUAGAACGCUUAGGGCUUUUAGGUUGUAGGGCUUAGGGCUUUAGCGCUUAUGGCUUUUAGGGCUUAGGGCUUAGGGCUUAGGGCUUAGGGUUUAGGGUUUAGGGUUUAGGGUUUAGGGCUUAGUUCUUGUGCUUUUAUUGCUUAGGGCUUAGUUCUUGUGCUUUUAUUGCUUAGGGCUUAGGGCUUGUAGGGCUUAGGGCUUAUGGCUUAGGGCUUGGGCUUUUAGGGCUUGGGUUUUUAGGGCUUGGGCUUUGGGCUUUUAGGGCGUUUAGGGCUUUUAGGUCGCUUAAGUCGUUUAUGGCUUUUAAGGCGUUUAGGGCUUAGGGCUUUUAGGGCUUAGGGGUUUUGGCUUACGACUUAGGGCUUGGGAUUUUAGGGCUUAGGGCUUGGGCUUUGGCCUUUUAGGGCUUUUAGGAAUUUUAGGGCUUUUACGGCGCUUAGGGCUUUUAGGUUUUAGGGCUUAGGGCUUAGGGCUUUUAGGGCUUAUAGCUUUUAGGGUUUAGGGUUUUUAGGGUUUUUAGGGUUUUUAGGGCGCUUAGGGCUUAGGGCUUAUGGCUUGGGCUUUUAUGGCUUGGGCUUUGGGUUUUAGGGCUUAGGGAUUUUAGGGCUUUUAGGGCAUUUAGGGCUUUUGGGGCUUUUAGGGCUUAGGGGCGUUUGGCUUAGGGCUUAGGGAUUAGGGCUUGGGCUUUUAGGGCUCGGGCUUUGGGCUUUUAGGACUUUUAGUGCUCUUAGGGCUUUUUGGGCGCUUAGGGCUUAUGACUUUUAAGACUUAGGGCUUUAGGCUUUUUGGGCUUUUAGGGCUUUUAGGACUUUUAGGGCUUUUAGGGCGCUUAUGGCUUUUAGCUUUUAGGGCUUAGGGCUUUUUGGGCUUUUAGGGCUUAGGGCUUAGGGCUUAGGCUUUUAGGGCUUUUAGGGCUUGGGCUUUGGGCGUUUAGGGCUUUUAGGGCUUUUAGGACGCUUAGGGCUUUUAGGUUGUAGGGCUUAGGGCUUUUAGCGCUUAUGGCUUUUAGGGCUUAGCGCUUAGGGCUUAGGGCUUUUACGGCUUUUUAGGGCUUUUACGACUUUUAGAGCUUUUAGGGCUGAGGUAUUAGGGCUUAGGCCUUAGGGCUUAGGCCUUAGGGCUGAGGGUGUCAGGGCUUAGGGCUUAGGGUUUAGGGUUUAGGGUUUAGGGUUUAGGGUUUAGGGCUUAGUUCUUGUGCUUUUAUUGCUUAGGGCUUAGGGCUUGUAGGGCUUAGGGCUUAUGGCUUAGGGCUUGGGCUUUUAGGGCUUGGGCUUUUAGGGCUUGGGCUUUGGGCUUUUAGGGUGUUUAGGGCUUUUAGGUCGCUUAAGUCGUUUAUGGCUUUUAAGGCGUUUAGGGCUUAGGGCUUUUAGGGCUUAGGGGGUUUUGGCUUACGACUUAGGGCUUGGGAUUUUAGGGCUUAGGGCUUGGGCUUUGGCCUUUUAGGGCUUUUAGGACUGUUAGGGCUUUUACGGCGCUUAGGGCUUUUAGGUUUUAGGGCUUAGACUUAGGGCUUUUAGGGCUUAUAGCUUUUAGGGUUUAGGGUUUUUAGGGUUUUUAGGGCUUUUAGGGCGCUUAGGGCUUAAGGCUUAUGGCUUGGGCUUUUAUGGCUUGGGCUUUGGGUUUUAAGGCUUAGGGAUUUUAGGGCUUAUGGUUUUUAGGGCUUAGGGCUUAGGGCUUAGGGCUUUUAGGGCUUAGGGGUUUUGGCUUACGGCUUAGGGCUUGGGAUUUUAGGGCUUAGGGCUUUUAGGGCUCACCGCUUGGCGCUUAGGGCUUUAGGCUUUUAGGGCGCUUGAGGGUUUUAGGGCGCUUAGGGCGCUUAGGGCUUUUAGGGCUUAUAGCUUUUAGGGUUUAGGGUUUUUUAGGGCUUUUAGGGUGCUUAGGGCUUGGGCUUUUAUGGCUUGGGCUUUGGGUUUUAGGGCUUAGGGAUUUUAGGGCUUUUAGGGCAUUUAGGGCUUUUGGGGCUUUUAGGGCUUAGGGCGUUUGGCUUAGGGCUUAGGGAUUAGGGCUUGGGCUUUUAGGGCUCGGGCUUUGGGCUUUUAGGACUUUUAGUGCUCUUAGGGCUUUUUGGGCGCUUAGGGCUUAUGACUUUUAAGACUUAGGGCUUUGGGCUUUUUUGGCUUUUAGGACUUUUAGGGCUUUUAGGGCGCUUAUGGCUUUUAGCUUUUAGGGCUUAGGGCUUUUUGGGCUUUUAGGGCUUAGGGCUUAGGGCUUAGGCUUUUUAGGGCUUUUAGGGCUUGGGCUUUGGGCGUUUUAGGGCUUUUAGGGCUUUUAGAACGCUUAGGGCUUUUAGGUUGUAGGGCUUAGGGCUUUUAGCGCUUAUGGCUUUUAGGGCUUAGGGCUUAGGGCUUAGGGCUUAGGGUUUAGGGUUUAGGGUUUAGGGUUUAGGGCUUAGUUUCUUGUGCUUUUAUUGCUUAGGGCUUAGUUCUUGUGCUUUUAUUGCUUAGGGCUUAGGGCUUGUAGGGCUUAGGGCUUAUGGCUUAGGGCUUGGGCUUUUAGGGCUUGGGUUUUUAGGGCUUGGGCUUUGGGCUUUUAGGGCGUUUAGGGCUUUUAGGUCGCUUAAGUCGUUUAUGGCUUUUAAGGCGUUUAGGGCUUAGGGCUUUUAGGGCUUAGGGGUUUUGGCUUACGACUUAGGGCUUGGGAUUUUAGGGCUUAGGGCUUGGGCUUUGGUCUUUUAGGGCUUUUAGGAUUUUUAGGGCUUUUACGACGCUUAGGGCUUUUAGGUUUUAGGGCUUAGGGCUUAGGGCUUUUAGGGCUUAUAGCUUUUAGGGUUUAGGGUUUUUAGGGUUUUUAGGGCUUUUAGGGCGCUUAGGGCUUAGGACUUAUGGCUUGGGCUUUUAUGGCUUGGGCUUUGGGUUUUAGGGCUUAGGGAUUUUAGGGCUUUUAGGGCAUUUAGGGCUUUUGGGGCUUUUAGGGCUUAGGGCGUUUGGCUUAGGGCUUAGGGAUUAGGGCUUGGGCUUUUAGGGCUCGGGCUUUGGGCUUUUAGGACUUUUAGUGCUCUUAGGGCUUUUUGGGCGCUUAGGGCUUAUGACUUUUAAGACUUAGGGCUUUAGGCUUUUAGGGCUUUUAGGACUUUUAGGGCUUUUAGGGCGCUUAUGGCUUUUAGCUUUUAGGGCUUAGGGCUUUUUGGGCUUUUAGGGCUUAGGGCUUAGGGCUUAGGCUUUUAGGGCUUUUAGGGCUUGGGCUUUGGGCGUUUAGGGCUUUUAGGGCUUUUAGGACGCUUAGGGCUUUUAGGUUCGUAGGGCUUAGGGCUUUUAGCGCUUAUGGCUUUUAGGGCUUAGCGCUUAGGGCUUAGGGCUUUUACGGCUUUUAGGGCUUUUACGACUUUUAGGGCUUUUAGGGCUGAGGUCUUAGGGCUUAGGCCUUAGGGCUUAGGCCUUAGGGCUGAGGGCUCAGGGCUUAGGGCUUAGGGCUUAGGGUUUAGGGCUUAGGGCUUAGUUCUUGUGCUUUUAUUGCUUAGGGCUUAGGGCUUGUAGGGCUUAGGGCUUAUGGCUUAGGGCUUGGGCUUUUAGGGCUUGGGUUUUUAGGGCUUGGGCUUUGGGCUUUUAGGGCGUUUAGGGCUUUUAGGUCGCUUAAGUCGUUGAUUGCUUUUAAGGCGUUUAGGGCUUAGGGCUUUUAGGGCUUAGAGGUUUUGGCUUACGACUUAGGGCUUGGGAUUUUAGGGCUUAGGGCUUGGGUUUUGGCCUUUUAGGGCUUUUAGGAUUUUUAGGGCUUUUACCGGCGCUUAGGGCUUUUAGGUUUUAGGGCUUAGGGCUUAGGCGCUUUUAGGGCUUAUAGCUUUUAGAGGGUUUAGGGUUUUUAGGGUUUUUAGGGCUUUUAGGGCGCUUAGGGCUUAGGACUUAUGGCUUGGGCUUUGGGUUUUAGGGCUUAGGGAUUUUAGGGCUUAUGGUUUUUAGGGCUUAGGGCUUAGGGCUUAGGGGUUUUGGCUUACGGCUUAGGGCUUAGGGCUUGGGCUUUGGCCUUUUAAGGCUUUUAGGACUUUUAGGGCUUUUACGGCGCUUAGGGCGCUUAGGGCUUUCAGGUUUUAGGGCUUAGGGCUUUAGGCUUUUAGGGCGCUUGAGGGUUUUAGGGCGCUUAGGGCUUUUAGGGCUUAUAGCUUUUAGGGUUUAGGGUUUUUAGGGCUUUUAGGGCGCUUAGGGCUUAGGGCUUAGGGCUUGGGCUUUUAUGGCUUGGGCUUUUAGGGCUUGGGCUUAGGGUUUUAGGGCUUGGGGAUUUUAGGGCUUAUGGCUUUAGAGUUUAGGGGUUUUGGGUUUAGGGCGCUUAGGACUUUUAGGGACUUUAGGGCUCUUAGGGCUUUUAGGUUUUAAGGCUUAUGGCUUUUAGGGAUUAUGGCUAAGUGCUUUUAGGGCUUAACGCUUUUAGGAGGACUUAGGGCUUUUAGGGCUUUUAGGGCUUAGGGCUUUUGGUGCUUUUGGGGCUUUUAGGGCUUAGGGCCUUUGGCUUAGUGCUUGGGGAUUAUAGCUUGGGCUUUUAGGGCUCGGGCUUUGGGCUCUUAGGGCUUUUAGGGCGCUUAGGGCUUUUAGGUCUUUUAGGGAUUAGGGUUUGGGCUUUUAGGGCUUGUGCUUUGGGCUUUUGGGAUUUUAGGGUUUAGGGCUUGUGCUUUUAGGGCUUGGGCUUUGCGCUUUUAGGACUUUUAGGGCUUUUACAGCGCUUAGGGCGCUUAGGACUUAGGGCUUAGGGCUUUUAGGGCUUAGGGCUCAUUGAGGAACUGGAUUUAUCUAAUGAGUAUAGGUAAAAUGGUUUUUUAUAUUGGAUUUGAUCAAUGCAAUGAAUUGUUUUAUCAUAAGACCGAUCCCUAAUUAAAUUGAUGAUCCCCAUCCUAACGAAAUGAAUUUGAUUCAUACAUGUACACACACGAACUGAACAUAGAUACAUUCACCGAAUCAUUGAUAAAGCAAUUCUACUUGGCGAGGAAAAAAUUUUCAAUAACUUGUUGAUCCCUAUCUCCAAAUUUUAAAAUUUAUCGUUCUUGAAUUUCUUGGCUUAGUGUGAAAUCGAAAUAUACCUAACCUAAUCUUAACAAUGAGUUAAUCAAUGAGUGAAAGUAUGAGAAAUGGAGUUUAAUCCCGUUUAUAGCAUAUUACAGACCAAUCACUUCCCGAAGGGUACUAGCCUUCGCAUUAUUUAAAUAAAAAAAGAAUAUUUUUUUUUGAAUAUUUAUUAUUUUUGUUUAUUUUAGACGUUUCUUCUAAUCACUACUAAUCACUAUUUUCAUUUUAUAUUCUAUAAUAAGUAAUAUAACUAUAUAUUCCAAUUUGCAAAUUUAUGUAUAUUAUUUAAAUUAAAUAAAUAAAUAAAAGAAAUUAAAUAAAUAAAUAAAUAAUGCAAUUGAAUUUUAAAUAAAAGAAUUUCUUCCCCUACUUCUUCUCUAACGGCUCUCUCUCUACUUUCUCGUCCUCUCCCCUUCUCUUAUCUUCUUCGUCUUCCUCAAAAUCGCGAUUCACGACCAUCUUCUUCUCCUGGCCCUAACAGCGCUGGAUUUCUCAACUGUCGAUCGAGUGACAAUCAUGCCUGCCUGCUUGACAAAGCCUUUUCGGUCUACCAAUAAAGGAAAAACGAUUGCUGGUGACACGAAGGCUGUGCUCGACGCUCUUUUUCUUAUUCCACUGCGCGUCGUGGUCUUUCCCUUGCUGGUUGGAUGACUACUAUGGACGAAGAGCACAAUUACUUCCAGUCUCUGGUCGAUAAGUACCCAAGGAAGGUAAAUUCCAGCGAAGAAAGUCGAGAGCUCCUUAGUUGAUCACAAAUCCUUCCAAAUUCUUUGUUCGUAGACUAAUUUGAAAUCCUUCCAAUAUGGAUCCAUGCUGUCUUUUAUAUCCAUAAGAUACCAAUUAGAUUGUGUUAAUUAUUGUUUAUAAGAAAAUAUUUGUGUGCAGAGUUGCCGUGGGUAAAUCUUAAUGGCUGGCAGAAAAUUGGUUCGGGAUAUAUUACUCUCAAGACAAAGUAUUUUUUAUCAGUUUACUUCCCAUGGGGUAUUUGCUCUUCCUAUGCUUUAUCCUUAUCCCGUCUUUCUCCGCUGUAGUCUUUAUAGGAUCGAUUUCUGUGGUGUAAAUUUAUUCAUCUAGUUUGUUUAAUUUAUGGUUUCAUUUAGGGAGAAGGUAAAUUACAUAAGCCAACGUAGUUAUGGAAAACAUCUCCAAUUUACAGCAAGUUAAAGAAAAAAAAAAAGAAGAGAAAAACAGCAGUUAAAAAAACUGGGCAUCUUGCUUUUUUCUUAUUGAAAGUUUGGCCGUUUCUUUCAAGUCAAAUUGACCACAAAAUGCUCAAAUGAGAUUCUUCAAUAGGAAUAUGUAAAAAAAAUAUAAUAUGUAAAAGAAUUUUUGUGAAACGUGGGAGAGAAGCGGUAACAUUAUCCUUCAAAAAAUUCAGGAGUAAAUAUUUAUGUGAAAGGACAUAUUAUUUGGCCAUUUGACCUUAUUUGUUAUUGAAUUAUUUGGUUGGAAAUGAUAAACUACACAUUAUUGUUUGCUUCAGUUGUGAUCUUGAUUAUGGGCUAUUUGGUAUUUUGCUUACAAACUGUAUAGUUAAUUAUCUGUUAGCUUUUGUUUUCCUGUCACAGCUUUAUGUUUAUGUGGCUCAUUGUAGCCGAAAGUUUUAUUUAUCAAUCUUAUUUUUCAUAGCAUAAAUGAAACUGUGUUUGAAGAAUCAGGUGCUGCUACAUCAUUCAAGGAAAUUCGUCGUAGAGGUUCGUAAGUUUUUUCCUUUGGAGAUGUGAUACUAACCUGUUUGAAUAAAGGAAUCUGACUUGGUCUUUUCCUCUUUAACAUUAUGGAUUAGGUCUUUCUCUUUACCAGAUUUCGUAGCUGAACUUUAAGAAGCAAUCAAACCGGUGUUAACUUCUUAUAUAAAGGUUAGUGCUAACUGCUAAGCUUAUUUCUAAGAUGAAAGAUGCUUUUAUCCCCUCCCCAAAGAAUAUCAUUACUAUUUAUGUUGUAUUUCUGCUAACUAAUUCUUGCAUAGCAUCUGGUUUGAUAAAUAAAGUAAAGUUUCUGACAUGGAGGUUUUCAAGUUGGAAUAUAUAUUUAUGUUUUAGGUAGAUUCCCAAACUUUGAAGAAACGCUGCAGUACUGAGGUAAUUGAACGUUGUAAGGCAGAGCAUUGGGCUUACCAGAGCCAAGGUAUCUUCUUCGAUAACAAGUAAGGAUAGUCCUGAUACUACCUUUCUUUUGUUAUUGAAAUUUAUUGUUCCUUUUGUUGGGGGCUUGGUGGUUGUGCACCUAUAUUGAUUUGUACUUCUGUUAAUUAAUUAUAGUCAUUCUCUCUUGUCUGAGUAAUUAUUGUCAACCAUUUUGUUAGCAAAGGCUUCCCAUGGAAAUUCAGUUUGUUGUGCUGCAUGUCCACGAUGAUUUUCGUGAUUUUAGUUUUAGAUACAUAAAAAGGGCCUUUGCAUCACGACAUGAAUGACUACUUUUUAAUAUGAACCUACAAUACCCCAAAUGAAUGCUGAAGUAAGUUUAUUGAUGUAUGUAAUUUACAACAAUCUUUUUGAACUUUUUGGUAGGUUAUGAAUUACGAACUUGUAUUGAAUAUUUGUUAGGUCGUUUUAAUAAUUCAAGUGAUGCUUAGAAAAUGCAACCGAGCUUAAACAAUUCUGCACAUUUUUCUAAAAUUUUUAGUUUAACCUCUUUAAUAAAAUUCGAUGGAAAUUCUUGUUUUCUUUUUGUAGGAAUAAAGGAAAAUGAAAUAUAACCAAACUUGGGAUCUUUGCAAGCAAGCUUCCAUGAAGAAACUAGGUUACAAGGGGAGGUCUUCUGUUCUCCUUUUUUUUCUUUCCAUCCGUAGAAUCUUGCUUAAAAUGCUUUGAGGACAAUGCAAAUUUUUAAGUGGGGGGUGGGGUUGUAGCCUUGCACAUUCCAUGUCCUUUGGGAAAUUUUCAUUUUGCAAAUUUUGCUAAAAAUGUCAAAAUUUAGAAACUUUUGCAAUGCUCUAUGCUUAGAAUAAGUACCAUGUCUACUUCGCUUUUUAGCAUAAAAAAGCAUAUAUGCCUAACCCAUGAGAACGGAGCUCGGAUUUGUGAUUGUAUUUGUUAUUUGAAUAUGUUACAUAUGUUGAAAAUGCAUAUAUUGAUAGCUUAGAAAUGAGUAGAACACUUGGUUCAUUUUCUGAAUAUUGUGAAUUAUGUACAUAAUAAUAUGUGCGGUUGCCUUUUUUAUCUCAAUUUUAAUCCCCUUUUUUGCCAUAUUCUACUGCCUUUUUUAUAUUAAUUUUAAAUCCCUCUUUUGGCCAUACACAUUUGUAUAAGAUUGUUUGAAAGCAAAAUAUGAUUGUUAGGUCAAGUAGAAAGCAAAGUCGGCAAGUUCUUAGAGUUCUUCACCCAACAUAACAGCCGAUAAAAACAAAACAAUACGACCAAGCUGCUUAGAGUUGCAAAACCCGACCCCCGCCUAGUGGGUCACUAGAGUUCUUCACCCAGCAUGGCAGCCGGUAGAGAGGGAGAGAGAAAAAAAAGAGGGAGCCAAGCCAGCCGCUUAGGUCAAGUAAAAUGCGCGCGAGAUCCCCGGUUUCAGAAUUUUCGUGGGGAUCCUCUCCGCUUUUCUUGCCUAAGCAAAACCGACCCCGCCUAGUAGGUUCUUAGAGUUCUUCACCCAUCAUGGCAGCCGGUAGAGAGGGAGAGAAAAAAAAAAGGGAGCCAAGCCAGCCGCUUAGGUCAAGUAAAAUGCGCGCCGAGAUCCCCGGUUUCAGAAUUUUCGUGGGGAUCCUCUCCGCUUUUCUUGCCUAAGCAAAACCCGACCCGCCUAGUAGGUCUUAGAGUUUUCACCCAGCAUGGCAGCCGUAGAGAGGGAGAGAGAAAAAAAGAGGGAGCCAAGCCAGCCGCUUAGGUCAAGUAAAAUGCGCGCCGAGAUCCCCCGUUUCAGAAUUUUCGUGGGGAUCCUCUCCGCUUUUCUUGCCUAAGCAAAACCCGACCCGCCUAGUAGGUCCUUAGAGUUUUUCACCCAGCAUGGCAGCCGGUAGAGAGGGAGAGAAAAAAAAGAGGGAGCCAAGCCAGCCGCUUAGGUCAAGUAAAAUGCGCGCCGAGAUCCCCCGGUUUCAGAAUUUUCGUGGGAUCCUCUCCGCUUUUCUUGCCUAAGCAAAACCCGACCCCCCUAGUAGGUCUUAGAGUUUUUCACCCAGCAUGGCAGCCGGUAGAGAGGGAGAGAGAAAAAAAGAGGGAGCCAAGCCAGCCGCUUAGGUCAAGUAAAAUGCGCGCCGAGAUCCCCCGGUUUCAGAAUUUUCGUGGGGAUCCUCUCCGCUUUUCUUGCCUAAGCAAAACCCGACCCGCCUAGUAGGUCCUUAGAGUUUUUCACCCAGCAUGGCAGCCGGUAGAGAGGGAGAGAGAAAAAAAAGAGGGAGCCAAGCCAGCCGCUUAGGUCAAGUAAAAUGCGCGCCGAGAUCCCCCGGUUUCAGAAUUUUCGUGGGGAUCCUCUCCGCUUUUCUUGCCUAAGCAAAACCCGACCCCGCCUAGUAGGUCCUUAGAGUUUUCACCCAGCAUGGCAGCCGGUAGAGAGGGAGAGAAAAAAAAGAGGGAGCCAAGCCAGCCGCUUAGGUCAAGUAAAAUGCGCGCCGAGAUCCCCGGUUUCAGAAUUUUCGUGGGGAUCCUCUCCGCUUUUCUUGCCUAAGCAAAACCCGACCCGCCUAGUAGGUCCUUAGAGUUUUUCACCCAGCAUGGCAGCCGGUAGAGAGGGAGAGAGAAAAAAAAGAGGGAGCCAAGCCAGCCGCUUAGGUCAAGUAAAAUGCGCGCCGAGAUCCCCGGUUUCAGAAUUUUCGUGGGGAUCCUCUCCGCUUUUCUUGCCUAAGCAAAACCCGACCCGCCUAGUAGGUCCUUAGAGUUUUUCACCCAGCAUGGCAGCCGGUAGAGAGGGAGAGAAAAAAAAAGAGGGAGCCAAGCCAGCCGCUUAGGUCAAGUAAAAUGCGCGCCGAGAUCCCCCGGUUUCAGAAUUUUCGUGGGGAUCCUCUCCGCUUUUCUUGCCUAAGCAAAACCCGACCCGCCUAGUAGGUCCUUAGAGUUUUCACCCAUCAUGGCAGCCGGUAGAGAGGGAGAGAGAAAAAAAAGAGGGAGCCAAGCCAGCCGCUUAGGUCAAGUAAAAUGCGCGCGCGAGAUCCCCGGUUUCAGAAUUUUCGUGGGGAUCCUCUCCGCUUUUCUUGCCUAAGCAAAACCCGACCCGCCUAGUAGGUCCUUAGAGUUUUUCACCCAGCAUGGCAGCCGGUAGAGAGGGAGAGAAAAAAAAGAGGGAGCCAAGCCAGCCGCUUAGGUCAAGUAAAAUGCGCGCCGAGAUCCCCCGGUUUCAGAAUUUUCGUGGGGAUCCUCUCCGCUUUUCUUGCCUAAGCAAAACCCGACCUAGUAGGUCCUUAGAGUUUUUCACCCAGCAUGGCAGCCGGUAGAGAGGGAGAGAGAAAAAAAAGAGGGAGCCAAGCCAGCCGCUUAGGUCAAGUAAAAUGCGCGCCGAGAUCCCCGGUUUCAGAAUUUUCGUGGGGAUCCUCUCCGCUUUUCUUGCCUAAGCAAAACCCGACCCGCCUAGUAGGUCCUUAGAGUUUUUCACCCAGCAUGGCAGCCGGUAGAGAGGGAGAGAAAAAAAAGAGGGAGCCAAGCCAGCCGCUUAGGUCAAGUAAAAUGCGCGCCGAGAUCCCCCGUUUCAGAAUUUUCGUGGGGAUCCUCUCCGCUUUUCUUGCCUAAGCAAAACCCGACCCGCCUAGUAGGUCCUUAGAGUUUUCACCCAUCAUGGCAGCCGGUAGAGAGGGAGAGAAAAAAAAAGAGGGAGCCAAGCCAGCCGCUUAGGUCAAGUAAAAUGCGCGCCGAGAUCCCCGGUUUCAGAAUUUUCGUGGGGAUCCUCUCCGCUUUUCUUGCCUAAGCAAAACCCGACCCGCCUAGUAGGUCCUUAGAGUUUUCACCCAGCAUGGCAGCCGGUAGAGAGGGAGAGAGAAAAAAAAGAGGGAGCCAAGCCAGCCGCUUAGGUCAAGUAAAAUGCGCGCCGAGAUCCCCCGGUUUCAGAAUUUUCGUGGGGAUCCUCUCCGCUUUUCUUGCCUAAGCAAAACCCGACCCGCCUAGUAGGUUCUUAGAGUUCUUCACCCAUCAUGGCAGCCGGUAGAGAGGGAGAGAGAAAAAAAAGAGGGAGCCAAGCCAGCCGCUUAGGUCAAGUAAAAUGCGCGCCGAGAUCCCCCGGUUUCAGAAUUUUCGUGGGAUCCUCUCCGCUUUUCUUGCCUAAGCAAAACCCGACCCGCCUAGUAGGUCCUUAGAGUUUUCACCCAGCAUGGCAGCCGGUAGAGAGGGAGAGAAAAAAAAGAGGGAGCCAAGCCAGCCGCUUAGGUCAAGUAAAAUGCGCGCCGAGAUCCCCGGUUUCAGAAUUUUCGUGGGGAUCCUCUCCGCUUUUCUUGCCUAAGCAAAACCCGACCCGCCUAGUAGGUCUUAGAGUUUUUCACCCAGCAUGGCAGCCGGUAGAGAGGGAGAGAGAAAAAAAGAGGGAGCCAAGCCAGCCGCUUAGGUCAAGUAAAAUGCGCGCCGAGAUCCCCCGGUUUCAGAAUUUUCGUGGGGAUCCUCUCCGCUUUUCUUGCCUAAGCAAAACCCGACCCCGCCUAGUAGGUUCUUAGAGUUCUUCACCCAUCAUGGCAGCCGGUAGAGAGGAGAGAGAAAAAAAAGAGGGAGCCAAGCCAGCCGCUUAGGUCAAGUAAAAUGCGCGCCGAGAUCCCCGGUUUCAGAAUUUUCGUGGGGAUCCUCUCCGCUUUUCUUGCCUAAGCAAAACCCGACCCCGCCUAGUAGGUCUUAGAGUUCUUCACCCAUCAUGGCAGCCGUAGAGAGGGAGAGAAAAAAAAAGAGGGAGCCAAGCCAGCCGCUUAGGUCAAGUAAAAUGCGCGCCGAGAUCCCCCGGUUUCAGAAUUUCGUGGGGAUCCUCUCCGCUUUUCUUGCCUAAGCAAAACCCGACCCGCCUAGUAGGUCCUUAGAGUUUUCACCCAGCAUGGCAGCCGUAGAGAGGGAGAGAGAAAAAAAGAGGGAGCCAAGCCAGCCGCUUAGGUCAAGUAAAAUGCGCGCCGAGAUCCCCCGGUUUCAGAAUUUUCGUGGGGAUCCUCUCCGCUUUUCUUGCCUAAGCAAAACCCGACCCGCCUAGUAGGUCCUUAGAGUUUUCACCCAGCAUGGCAGCCGGUAGAGAGGGAGAGAGAAAAAAAAGAGGGAGCCAAGCCAGCCGCUUAGGUCAAGUAAAAUGCGCGCCGAGAUCCCCCGGUUUCAGAAUUUUCGUGGGGAUCCUCUCCGCUUUUCUUGCCUAAGCAAAACCCGACCCGCCUAGUAGGUCCUUAGAGUUUUUCACCCAGCAUGGCAGCCGGUAGAGAGGGAGAGAGAAAAAAAGAGGGAGCCAAGCCAGCCGCUUAGGUCAAGUAAAAUGCGCGCCGAGAUCCCCCGGUUUCAGAAUUUUCGUGGGAUCCUCUCCGCUUUUCUUGCCUAAGCAAAACCCGACCCCCUAGUAGGUCCUUAGAGUUUUCACCCAGCAUGGCAGCCGGUAGAGAGGGAGAGAGAAAAAAAAGAGGGAGCCAAGCCAGCCGCUUAGGUCAAGUAAAAUGCGCGCCGAGAUCCCCCGGUUUCAGAAUUUUCGUGGGGAUCCUCUCCGCUUUUCUUGCCUAAGCAAAACCCGACCCCGCCUAGUAGGUCUUAGAGUUCUUCACCCAGCAUGGCAGCCGGUAGAGAGGGAGAGAAAAAAAAAAGAGGGAGCCAAGCCAGCCGCUUAGGUCAAGUAAAAUGCGCGCCGAGAUCCCCCGUUUCAGAAUUUUCGUGGGAUCCUCUCCGCUUUUCUUGCCUAAGCAAAACCCGACCCGCCUAGUAGGUCCUUAGAGUUUUUCACCCAGCAUGGCAGCCGGUAGAGAGGGAGAGAGAAAAAAAAGAGGGAGCCAAGCCAGCCGCUUAGGUCAAGUAAAAUGCGCGCCGAGAUCCCCGGUUUCAGAAUUUUCGUGGGAUCCUCUCCGCUUUUCUUGCCUAAGCAAAACCCGACCCGCCUAGUAGGUUCUUAGAGUUCUUCACCCAUCAUGGCAGCCGGUAGAGAGGGAGAGAGAAAAAAAAGAGGGAGCCAAGCCAGCCGCUUAGGUCAAGUAAAAUGCGCGCCGAGAUCCCCGGUUUCAGAAUUUUCGUGGGGAUCCUCUCCGCUUUUCUUGCCUAAGCAAAACCCGACCCGCCUAGUAGGUCCUUAGAGUUUUCACCCAGCAUGGCAGCCGGUAGAGAGGGAGAGAAAAAAAAGAGGGAGCCAAGCCAGCCGCUUAGGUCAAGUAAAAUGCGCGCCGAGAUCCCCCGGUUUCAGAAUUUUCGUGGGGAUCCUCUCCGCUUUUCUUGCCUAAGCAAAACCCGACCCGCCUAGUAGGUCCUUAGAGUUUUCACCCAGCAUGGCAGCCGGUAGAGAGGGAGAGAGAAAAAAAGAGGGAGCCAAGCCAGCCGCUUAGGUCAAGUAAAAUGCGCGCCGAGAUCCCCCGGUUUCAGAAUUUUCGUGGGGAUCCUCUCCGCUUUUCUUGCCUAAGCAAAACCCGACCCGCCUAGUAGGUCCUUAGAGUUUUCACCCAGCAUGGCAGCCGGUAGAGAGGGAGAGAGAAAAAAAAGAGGGAGCCAAGCCAGCCGCUUAGGUCAAGUAAAAUGCGCGCCGAGAUCCCCCGGUUUCAGAAUUUUCGUGGGGAUCCUCUCCGCUUUUCUUGCCUAAGCAAAACCCGACCCGCCUAGUAGGUCCUUAGAGUUUUCACCCAGCCAUGGCAGCCGGUAGAGAGGGAGAGAGAAAAAAAAGAGGGAGCCAAGCCAGCCGCUUAGGUCAAGUAAAAUGCGCGCCGAGAUCCCCCGGUUUCAGAAUUUUCGUGGGAUCCUCUCCGCUUUUCUUGCCUAAGCAAAACCCGACCCGCCUAGUAGGUCCUUAGAGUUUUCACCCAUGGCAGCCGGUAGAGAGGGAGAGAAAAAAAAGAGGGAGCCAAGCCAGCCGCUUAGGUCAAGUAAAAUGCGCGCCGAGAUCCCCCGGUUUCAGAAUUUUCGUGGGGAUCCUCUCCGCUUUUCUUGCCUAAGCAAAACCCGACCCCGCCUAGUAGGUCUUAGAGUUCUUCACCCAGCAUGGCAGCCGGUAGAGAGGGAGAGAAAAAAAAAGAGGGAGCCAAGCCAGCCGCUUAGGUCAAGUAAAAUGCGCGCCGAGAUCCCCGGUUUCAGAAUUUUCGUGGGGAUCCUCUCCGCUUUUCUUGCCUAAGCAAAACCCGACCCGCCUAGUAGGUCCUUAGAGUUUUCACCCAGCAUGGCAGCCGGUAGAGAGGGAGAGAAAAAAAAGAGGGAGCCAAGCCAGCCGCUUAGGUCAAGUAAAAUGCGCGCCGAGAUCCCCCGGUUUCAGAAUUUUCGUGGGGAUCCUCUCCGCUUUUCUUGCCUAAGCAAAACCCGACCCGCCUAGUAGGUCCUUAGAGUUUUUCACCCAGCAUGGCAGCCGGUAGAGAGGGAGAGAGAAAAAAAAGAGGGAGCCAAGCCAGCCGCUUAGGUCAAGUAAAAUGCGCGCCGAGAUCCCCGGUUUCAGAAUUUUCGUGGGGAUCCUCUCCGCUUUUCUUGCCUAAGCAAAACCCGACCCGCCUAGUAGGUCCUUAGAGUUUUCACCCAGCAUGGCAGCCGUAGAGAGGGAGAGAGAAAAAAAAGAGGGAGCCAAGCCAGCCGCUUAGGUCAAGUAAAAUGCGCGCCGAGAUCCCCCGGUUUCAGAAUUUUCGUGGGGAUCCUCUCCGCUUUUCUUGCCUAAGCAAAACCCGACCCGCCUAGUAGGUCCUUAGAGUUUUCACCCAGCAUGGCAGCCGGUAGAGAGGGAGAGAGAAAAAAAAGAGGGAGCCAAGCCAGCCGCUUAGGUCAAGUAAAAUGCGCGCCGAGAUCCCCCGGUUUCAGAAUUUUCGUGGGAUCCUCUCCGCUUUUCUUGCCUAAGCAAAACCCGACCCGCCUAGUAGGUCCUUAGAGUUUUUCACCCAGCAUGGCAGCCGGUAGAGAGGGAGAGAGAAAAAAAAGAGGGAGCCAAGCCAGCCGCUUAGGUCAAGUAAAAUGCGCGCCGAGAUCCCCGGUUUCAGAAUUUUCGUGGGAUCCUCUCCGCUUUUCUUGCCUAAGCAAAACCCGACCCGCCUAGUAGGUCCUUAGAGUUUUCACCCAGCAUGGCAGCCGGUAGAGAGGGAGAGAAAAAAAAAGAGGGAGCCAAGCCAGCCGCUUAGGUCAAGUAAAAUGCGCGCCGAGAUCCCCCGGUUUCAGAAUUUUCGUGGGGAUCCUCUCCGCUUUUCUUGCCUAAGCAAAACCCGACCCCGCCUAGUAGGUUCUUAGAGUUCUUCACCCAUCAUGGCAGCCGGUAGAGAGGGAGAGAAAAAAAAAGAGGGAGCCAAGCCAGCCGCUUAGGUCAAGUAAAAUGCGCGCGCGAGAUCCCCGGUUUCAGAAUUUUCGUGGGGAUCCUCUCCGCUUUUCUUGCCUAAGCAAAACCCGACCCCCUAGUAGGUCUUAGAGUUCUUCACCAGCAUGGCAGCCGGUAGAGAGGGAGAAGAAAAAAAAGAGGGAGCCAAGCCAGCCGCUUAGGUCAAGUAAAAUGCGGCCGAGAUCCCCGGUUUCAGAAUUUUCGUGGGAUCCUCUCCGCUUUUCUUGCCUAAGCAAAACCCGACCCGCCUAGUAGGUCCUUAUAGUUCUUCACCUAGCACGGCAGCCGGUAGAGAGGGAGGGAGAAAAAAAAGAGGGAGUCAAGCCAGCUGCUUAGGUCAAAUAAAAUGCGCGUCGAGAUUGCCUGGUAUCAGAGCUUGCAUGGGCAACCUCUCCGCUUUAGAUGGAAUUUGAUGAAAUGCUUAUGUCGAAAGUAGGCAUUUCUCUACAGAGUCCUAAUGGUCAUAGAAAUUUAUUAUGUUUGUAUUUAUUUUACUUUGUUGUCAAGAAUCAACUUCUUUUCUGAUUUGUAUGUUUAUGUAUAUGUUGCAUCUCUGUCUUGUUAUCAUGUUGUAUUUCAUUGUACUCAAUAGUCUGAUUUGCAUUUUUUAUUUGUGUUAAUAAGUGUUCGUGUAAUUGCAAUUUUGUUCUUGAAGAUAUUUUGCUUGAAUCAAGUUAGUUCUUUCUAUAAGGAUCAUUUUCUUGUAAGGUUAUAACUUCUUGUCCAAUUUUUCCAACUCACAUUUCAACUUGUAACAGGUGAAUCCCUUCUAAAUAAGAGCUUAAAAAGAAAAAACAAUUGGAACCUUUAACCAUAAAAUCAAGGUACUGCAUCUUAUUUGCAAUGAAUUGCUAUAAUUUUGUAGAGACUCCACAAAUAAAAUACUAAAUUACCCAAACAGUUGGCAAACAGAGACAACACUCUGUAGAUCUUUAUUUAUAUAUAAAUGCAAAGAUACAGUAGAAGGAAAUAUAAAAGAACAAUAAAGAUGAUAAUAUCAUGUCAAACCUCCCCAGGAAAAGAUAGUAGUCCUUCCUAGACCUAGCAGCCUCUACAGACCAAAUGAAGACAAAAAGUUAACCUAGCCCCCAAUCCCGAUAAGGCCUUAUUUAUAGCUCUUUUCUCAUUCUUCCCGUGGGCCCCACUCUCAUGUUCUUUUCCUAAUAUUCUCCCCUUUUCUGCUGCGUGAGCUUUUACGUUUUUACCCCUCCUUUUGUAUGUAUGGAUAAUAGGGGGCCUUACAAUACCCUCGGUUCCAGGUUCACCUUGUCCUCAAGGUGAAAGUCAGGGAAUUGUUGGUUCAUUUGGAAAACAGAUUCCCAAGUUGUUUCACUGUCCGCAGCCCUUUCCACUUAAUUAACCAUUCAUUUCCUCCAAUUCCCGAUUCCAACGGACUCCCAACACUGUUUCCGGCCAUAAUUGUAACUCAAACUCUUCCGUUAGCCUAGGUUGCUGGUGUUGAACAGCUUGUUGACUACCAGUUUCAGUUUUAACUGAGAAAUAUGGAACACAUUGUGGAUACUGGCUUCCGGCGGUAACAUCAAUCUGUACGCAACUGCUCCUAUUUCUUCAGUAAUUUUGUAGGGUCCGUAAUAUUAGGUGCUAACUUUUCACACUUCUUCCGAGCCAAGGAGCGUUGCCGGUAAGGUCUCAAUUUCAAGUAGACUUCAUCUCCUACCUUAAAUUUUAACUCUCUUCUAUUUCGAUCAGCCAUUUUCUUCAUCCUGUUCUAGGCUACACACAGGUGUUCUUUUAAGGCAUUGAUGGCUAAGUCACGUUCCUUCAGCAGCGUGUCAACCUCAUUAUUAGGAGUUUUCUUGUAACCAUAGGAUAACAGGGGAGGAGGCGGUCUGCGGUAUACCGUCUGAAAGGGGUCAUUUUGGUGGAUGCAUGGAAGGUGGUAUUAUACCACAAUUCUGCCCAUGGAAUCAGUCUAUCCCAUUUUUUUGGUUGUUCAUUACAGAAGCAUCGCAGAUAAGUUUCGAGACAUCUAUUUACCCUUUCUGUCUGCCCAUCAGUUUGUGGGUGAAACGCGGUACUCCUCUUUAGAAUAGUUCCCAUGGUUGCAAACAGUUCCUUCCAAAAAUUACUAAGAAAGAUUUUUAUCCCGAUCUGUGAUAAUCGACUUAGGAAUGCCGUGCUUGCUUACUAUUCUGUCGAUGAAUAUGGAAGCAACUUGCUUGGCUGAAAACGGAUGUCUCAAUGAUAUAAAGUAAGAAUACUUACUCAGCCGAUCAACUACCACCAUGAUCACAUUAACCCCCAGCUAGUGGCAACCCCUCAAUAAAGUCCAUGGUCCAAUCUUCUAAGAUUCUGUCAGGAAUUGGAAUUGGUUGAAGUACCCCAGCUGGUUUGGUUGCUUCGUAUUUGUUUCUCUGGCAGAUCUCGCAUUGUUCCACAUAUUUCUUUAUUUCAGCCUUCAUACCCUCCAAUAUAGUUCUCACUGAUCCUCUCGUAAGUUCUUAAAAAUCCAGAAUGUCCCCCGAGGAUAGAAUCGUGGAAAGUAUGUAGGAUCUUGGGUAUAAGUGUAGAAGUUUGAGAUACUACCAUUCUCCCUUAUAGAGCAAUCUUCCUUUUUCCACUUGAAACUUGCUUCCUUCUUCUGCAUUUUCUUCAGAUUUUCCAUAAUUUUCUUAAGUUCAGCAUCAUUCUCAACUUCCUGCUCGAUUAGUUUCACAUCAAUGAUUCCAGUAGUUGUCAAGCUGUGCAGCUCCACCGGUUGCUCCAUUCUAGAUAGGGCGUCCGCUGCCUUGUUCUGAUGUCCGGGUUGAUAUAAAUCUCGAAAUCAUAUCCAAGGAGCUUUGUCAACCAUUUCUGGAAUUGGGGCUGUACCUCUCUCUGUUCAAGCAAGAAUUUAAGAGCCUUUUGAUCUGAAAGUAUGGUGAACUUCCUGCCCAGCAAAUAAUGCCUCCAUUUUUGAACUGAUAGAACUACAGCCAUCAACUCUCUUUCAUAGAUGGAUUUGUUUUGAGCCUUGUGGAUAACUUCUGACUGAAAAAGGCAAUCGGGUGGCCAUUUUGAGAGAUCACCGCUCCUAACCCUACGCCAGAUGCAUCAGUUUCGAUAAUAAAGGGAAUGUUCCAAUCUGGUAAUGCCAACACUGGUAGAGUAGUCAUUGCUAGCUUCAAAUUUUCGAAGGCAGUAUUUGCUUCUUCAUUCCACUUAAAAGCAUUCUUCUGUAAUAACUUGGUUAGCGGUGCAGCGAUCUCUCCAUAACCCUUGACAAACCUCCUAUAAUAUCCUGUCAGUCCUAAGAAGCCCCGCAGACCAGAUAUAUUCGUUGGUGGUGGCCAAUUAAUCAUCUUCUUGAUCUUAUCCUCAUCUGCCUCAACUCCUCUUUUGGAUAUCAUAUGUCCCAAGUACUGUAUUUGAGAAUGGGCUAUAACGCAUUUUUUUUUGUUAGCAAACAGCUGGUUAUCCUUCAAAACAUUGAAUACCAUGCCCAAAUGCUUUGCGUGUUCAUCUAUAUCCGCACUAUAAACCAGUAUAUCAUCAAAGAACACCAAAACACAGCGCCGAAGGAAAGGUUUAAAUACCUGGUUCAUCAAAGAUUGGAAGGUUGCCAGAGCAUUCGUGAGACCAAACGGCAUUACUAGAAACUCAUAGUGCCCUUCAUGUGUGCGGAACACAGUUUUCUCCACAUCUUCCUCUUUCAUUCUAAUCUGGUGAUAACCAGAUUUCAGAUCUAAUUUCGAGAAAACCGUUGCCCUAUUCAGCUCAUCUAAUAAUUCCUCUAUCACAGGAAUUGGGAACUUAUCCGAUACUGUCGCCUGAUUUAACUUGCGGUAAUCGACACAAAAUCUCCAUCCACCAUCUUUUUUCUUCACUAACAACACCGGGCUGGAGUAAGGGCUAUGACUAGGGCGAAUAACCCCUGCUUGAAGCAUCUCGACCACCAGUUUUUCUAUUUCUUCUUUCUGCACAUGACCGUAUUUGUAAGGUCUUACGUUGAUAGGUUUAUGGUCAGGUAGGGUUAAUAUUCGGUGAUCAAUAGCUCUUUUUGGAGGUAAUUUCUUCGGUGUCUCAAAUAUCUCCGCAUAAUACUUGAGCAGGGAUCGGAUCAUAGAUAUUUCCUCCUCAUCUCCUUUUAAUCUUGUCCCCAGUUCAUAUUCAUUCUCUACUUCCAUCUCAUAAUUCUGGAAUUCUAAAGGAAGCCUUGAUCUUCUAUAUCCCACGUUUUUUCCAAUGUCUUCAAAGAACAUUCAGCUUUCACUAAGGAUGGAUCUCCUCUUAACACGAUUUGCUUGUCUUUUGCCCAAAAGGUCAUGGUUAAUGAUGGCCAAUGUACCUUCAUUGUGCCGGUGGUAUCUAGCCAUUGCAUCCCUAAAAUCACGUCAAUAUUUCCUAGUUCCACCACUAGAAAAUCAGUUAUAACUGUCAUUUCUUUCAAUCUCAGUUCCACCUUUCUGCAAAUACCUUUCCCUUUACAGCGGGUCCCGUCUCCAAUAGUCACUCCAAAUUGUGUACCGGGUUCAAUGUUCAACCCUCCUUCCAUUGCCACUGCUUCAUGGAUGAAGUUGUUCGUAGCUCCACUGUCGAUGAGAAUCACCACCUCCCUUCCUUUUACAUGCCCCUUCAGUUUCAUUGUCCCUUUGGAUGUUAACCCCGUGAGUGUCUUCAAUUCAAUUUCGGUGGUUUCAGCAACAACUAACUGGUUCAGCUCCAUUACUUCUUCGGUCUCUUCCAUUUUGACUUCCUCCCCACCACUCUCUUCUUCGUUAAGUAUAAAUAACAUUAAUUCCCUUUUCUCUCUCAUCUUGCAUCGGUGUCCCGGUGAGUACUUCUCAUUGCAUCUAAAACACAAACCCUUGUCCAAUCUUGCUCUGAAUUCCGUGUCCAAGAGUCUUUUAACUGGAGGUUCAUUUUUCUGGUAGUUUCCUUUAAUGGGAAUAGUGACUUGCUUCAUGGGGAACUCAGUCUUCUUUGGUGAACUUUUAUCUUGACUGCUUUGUCCCUUGCUUGAGCCUCCUCCUUCCCUAGUCACACUGUUUACCCAUUCUGCCUUGGCUAAUUUCAAGGCUAGGUUUCUGCCACUUACCAGUUGUGCCUCCUUCAUACAUUCCUCUAAGGUUUGAGGAUGUCUACUAAUAACUUCUGCUUGAAGAGCCGGUUCUAGACCUGUCACGAAUGCAUCUAAGAGCACGCUUUCAGCCAUGUGCGGUAGUGGUGCAGAAUAUUGUACGAAUUUCUUGACAUAAUCAUUAUAGGAUCCAUCUUGUUCUAUUCGAAUCAGCCUUGCACCUAAGCUCUUCUGCCCAGAAUCUUGAAAAAAUUCAAACAUCCUUACCUUCAAAUCUUCCCAUCCUUCCACCUUCUUUCUAUGGUUACUCCAACGGUACCAAUCGAUUUCAUCUUGUCCGAAACUAACCACUGCUACUUUCACUUUUUCUGCUUCCGGUAGGCUAUUAAUUUCGAAAAAAUGCUCAGCUCUAAACACCCAUGACUCAGGAUUUUCCCCGGUGAAAAUCGGCAUUUCCAGUUUCUUAUAUUUGCUUCGGUCGACAGUUACUACAUUGUUUUCCCCUGGAUUGUCGGCUUCUUCCCAUUUUCCUUUUAACUUCAUGACUGAUCCAUCAGAAGUUCCGGAUUCAUCUCGCCUUUUGUAGCUGCUGUUUUCUUUCAUUUCAUCAGCCAGUCUAUCCAUGGAUUUCUUCGUUUCCAGAAUCAUUUCCUUCAAGCUCAGUAUUUCUUUCUCUGUUCCAUCUAUUCUUUCUUCUAUUUGCCUUUGCGCCAUCAGCCGCGUCACCACCCCCAGCGUUUGGGCUCUGAUACCAGUUGUAGAGACUCCACAAAUAAAAUACUAAAUUACCCAAACAGUUGGCAAACAGAGACAGCACUCUGUAGAUCUUUAUUUAUAUAUAAAUGCCAAAGAGAUACAGUAGAAGGAAAUAUAAAAGAAAGCAAUAAAGAUGAUAAUAUCAUGUCAAACCUCCCCAGGAAAAGAUAGUAGUCCUUCCUAGACCUAGCAGCCUCUACAGACCAAAUGAAGACAAAAAGUUAACCUAGCCCCCAAUCCCGAUAAGGCCUUAUUUAUAGCUCUUUUCUCAUUCUUCCCCGUGGGCCCCACUCUCAUGUUCUUUUCCUAAUAUUCUCCCCUUUUCUGCUGCGUGAGCUUUUACGUUUUUACCCCUCCUUUUGUAUGUAUGGAUAAUAGGGGGCCUUACAAUACCCCUCGGUUCCAGGUUCACCUUGUCCUCAAGGUGCAAGUCAGGGAAUUGUUGGUUCAUUUGGAAAACAGAUUCCCAAGUUGUUUCACUGUCCGGCAGCCCUUUCCACUUAAUUAACCAUUCAUUUCCUCCCAAUUCCCGAUUCCAACGGACUCCCAACACUGUUUCCGGCCAUAAUUGUAACUCAAACUCUUCCGUUAGCCAAGGUUGCUGGUGUUGAACAGCUUUGUUAGGUUGUUUUAAAGUCCAAGUGAUACUUAGACACGCCUUGACCACUUUUUAGGUUGGUUUGGAACUAAGUUUGUUGCACUUGCGCACUUGGUUGCCAUUUUGGGUCGUGUAGUGUUUCCUUUUUUUUCCAUACUUCUUGAACUUUUUGGUAGGUUAUGAGUGAUGAAUUUACAAAUAAACAUUCUUAGGUCGUUCUGAAAGUUCAAGUGAUACUUAAACACGGUUUGAAAUUUUUUUAGAUUUGUUUAAGACUAAGUUUGUUUCACUUGCAUACUUGGUUGCCAUUUUAGGUCUCAAAGUGCAUUUUUCACGCAUUUUGAUUUUUUUGUUAGUUUGUGAGUUACGAACUUACACUUAAGGAUUGUUAGGUCGUUUUAAACACAUUUUGCGUUGGUUUGAAACUAAGUUUGUUGCACUUACACAUUGGAUUGAAAUGUUGGGUCUUGAAGUACUUUUUUUCACACUUUUUGAAAUUUUUUUAGGUUGUGAGUUACGAACUUACGCUUGAGUAUUGUUUGGUCGGUUUGAAAUCUUAGACACGUUUUGCACUCUUUUUAGGAUGGCUUGAAACUAAGUCCGUUGCACUUACGUACUUCGUUGCCGUUUUCGGCCUUGAAGUGCUUUUUUUACACUUUUUGAAAUUUUGGUAGAUUGUGAGUUACAAACUUACACUUAAGCAUUGUUUGGUCGUUUUGAAAGUUUAAGUGAUACGUACACACGUUUUGAAUACAUUUUAGGUUAGAUUGAGUUUGUUGCACUUGGUUGUCAUUUUUGGUCUUGAAAUGCUUUUUUCAACCUUUUUGGUAGAUUAUGAGUUACGAACCUACAUUUAGGAUUUGCUAGGUCGUUUUGAAAACUCAAGUAAUACCUAGACACGUUUUGAGCACGUUCUAGGUUGGUUUGAACUAAGUUUGUUACACUUACACACUUGGUAGCCAUUUUGGGUCUUGUAGUGCUUUUUUCACACUAUUUGAACUUUUUUCGUAGGUUAUGAGUUACGAACCUAAACGUAAGCUGUUUUAGGUCGUUUUGAAAGUUCAAGUGAUACUUAGACACAUUUUGUUCAAGUGAUACUGUUUUAGGUUGUUUUCAAGUGAACUUUUUUCUUCUUGUAUUGACUGUUUUACUAUUUCUUCAUGGUUUGUAUUCAUGGUAUUUAUUUUCGUAAUGAAUCUUUCAUGAUUGGUAAACAUUGCAGAAACACAUAAUUUCAGCAAUCUGUCAAAGAGUUGAAGGAGAAGACAGAAGAACUAAAGGUCACAUGAAGACCUAAAAGUUAGGUAAUUUUUGAAAACUUUUUUCUUUGUCUUGCUUAGUUUUAGUGGUAUUUGUUAACAGGCUGAGACAUACUCUUGUAUGCCAAGGCUGGGUGGCCAAUUCAAUGGAUGGCCUGAGACGGUGAAAUGACGAAUGUAGAACAAAGUAGACAAUCGAGCAGAUUUACAAGUAGGAGGAUGAUGUUUGGUCUUACUCUAAAGCUACUGCUAGAAAGGUGAUUCUCCCUUUAUUUACACAUGUUAUCUAUAUUUAAUUACUGUUUUUAUGUGAUGGUGAAUAAAUAUUUAAGUCGUUUCAAGUUUGUACAUCAUGCUUGAGUUAAUACAUUUCCCAACUCGCACUAAUUUUAAAGUUGAGACUAAGUUUGUUGCACUUACACACUUGGUUGCCAUUUUGGAUUUUGGAGUGCUUUUUCUACAUUUUUUAAACAUUUUGGUAGGUUAUGAGUAAUGAAGUAAGACUAAAGCAUUAUUAGGUCGUUUUUAAGUUCGAGUGAUACUUAAACAUUUUUUGAACACCUUUUAGGUUGUUACAAACUAAGUUAGUUUUACAUACAGCCAUGGUUGCCAUUUUGAGUCUUGAAAGAUUUUUUUUCACACUUUUUGAAAUUUUUGGUAAGUUAAUAAAUUUACACUUAAGCGUUGUUAGGUUGUUUGAAAACUUAUACGUGUUUUGAAUACUUAGGUUUGUAUAGAACUAAGUUCGUUGCACUUACACACUCGACAUUUUGGGUUUUGGAGUGUCUUUUUAAAAAAAUUUGAACUUUUUGCUAGGUUAUGACUUAUGAACUUGUAUUGAAUAUUUGUUAGGUCGUUUUGAUAAAAAUAUUAAACCAAGCUUAAACAAUUCCGCUCAUUUUUCUAAAAUUUUUAGUUUAACCUAUUGAAUAAAAUUCGAAAAUUCUUGUUUUCUUUUUGUAGGAAUAAAAGGAAAUGAAAUAUAACCAAACUUGGGAUCUUUGCAAGCAAUCUUCCAUGAAGAAACUAGGCUACAAGUGGUUUUUUGGGUUUUUAGGGGGGCUUUUAGGGCUUUUUGGGCUUAUGGCUUAGGGCUUUUAGCGCUUUUAGGGCUUUUAGGGCGCUUAGGGCUUUUAGGUUUUAGGGCUUAUGGCUUAGGGCUUUUAGGUUUUAGGGCUUAGGGCUUUUAGGGAUUAUGGCUUAGGGCUUAGCGCUUUUAGGGCUUAGGGCUUAGGGCUUAGGGCUUUAAGGGUUUUAAGGGUAUUUAGGGAUAAGGGAUUUUAGGGCUUUUAGGGCAUUUAGGGCUUUUGGGGCUUUUAGGGCUUUUAGGGCUUAGGGUGUUUGGCUUAGGGCUUAGGGAUUAGGCUUGGCUUUUAGGGCUCGGGCUUUGGGCUCGUUGGGCUUUUAGGACUUUUAGUGCUCUUAGGCUUUUUGGGCGCUUAGGGAUUUUAGGGAUUAGGGCUUAGGGCUUAGGGCUUAGGGUUUGGGCUUUUAAGGCUUGGGCUUUGGGCUUUUAGGGCUUAGGGCUUUUAGGCCUAGGGCUUGGGCUUUGGGCUUUUAGUGCGCCUAGGGUGCUUAAGACGUUUAGGGCUUUUGGGGCACUUAGGGCACUUAGGGCUUAUGACUUUUAGGGUUUAGGGUUUAGGGGUUUAGGGUUAGGGUUUAGGGGUUUAGGAUGUAGGGCGCUUAGGGCUUUUAGGGCGCUUAGGGCUUUUAGGUUUUAGGGCUUAGGGCUUUUAGGGAUUAUGUUAGGGCUUUUAGGUUUUAGGGCUUAGGGCUUUUAGGGAUUAUGGCUUAGGGCUUAGCGCUUUUAGGGCUUAGGGCUUAGGGCUUUAAGGGUUUUAAGGGUAUUUAGGGAUAUGGGAUUUUAGGGCUUUUAGGGCAUUUAGGGCUUUUGGGGCUUUUAGGGCUUUUAGGGCUUAGGGUGUUUGGCUUAGGGCUUGGGCUUUUAGAGGUCGGGCUUUGGGCUCGUUGGGCUUUAAGGACUUUUAGUGCUCUUAGGGUUUUUUGGGCGCUUAGGGAUUAGGGCUUAGGGCUUAGGGCUUAGGGCUUGGGCUUUUAAGGCUUGGGCUUUGGGCUUUUAGGGCUUAGGGCUUUUAGGCCUAGGGCUUGGGCUUUGGGCUUUUAGUGCGCCUAGGGUGCUUAAGACGUUUAGGGCUUUUAGGGCACUUAGGGCACUUAGGGCUUAUGACUUUUAGUGUUUAGGGUUUAGGGGUUUAGGGUUUAGGGUUUAGGGGUUUAGGGUGUAGGGCGCUUAGGGCUUUUAGGGCUUUUAGGGCUUUUAGGGCGCAUAGGGCUUUUAGGUUUUAGGGCUUAGGGCUUUUAGGGAUUAUGGCUUAGGGCUUUUAGGUUUUAGGGCUUAGGGCUUUUAGGGAUUAUGGCUUAGGGCUUAGCGCUUUUAGGGCUUAGGGCUUUAAGGGUUUUAAGGGUAUUUAGGGAUAUGGGAUUUUAGGGCUUUUAGGGCAUUUAGGGCUUUUGGGGCUUUUAGGGCUUUUAGGGCUUAGGGUGUUUGGCUUAGGGCUUGGGCUUUUAGGGCUCGGGCUUUGGGCUCGUUGGGCUUUUAGGACUUUUAGUGCUCUUAGGGCUUUUUGGGCGCUUAGGGAUUUUAGGGAUUAGGGCUUAGGGCUUAGGGCUUAGGGUUUGGGCUUUUAAGGCUUGGGCUUUGGGCUUUUAUGGCUUAGGGCUUUUAGGCCUAGGGCUUGGGCUUUGGGCUUUUAGUGCGCCUAGGAUGCUUAAGACGUUUAGGGCUUUUAGGGCACUUAGGGCACUUAGGGCUUAUGACUUUUAGUGUUUAGGGUUCAGGGGUUUAGGGUUUAGGGUUUAGGGGUUUAGGGUGUAGGGCUUUUAGGGCUUUUAGGGCGCUUCGGGCUUUUAGGUUUUAGGGCUUAGGGCUUUUAGGGAUUAUGGCUUAGGGCUUUUAGGGUUUAGGGCUUAGGGCUUUUAGGGAUUAUGGCUUAGGGCUUAGUGCUUUUAGGGCUUAGGGCUUAGGGCUUUAAGGGUAUUUAGGGAUAUGGGAUUUUAUUGCUUUUAGGGCAUUUAGGGCUUUUGGGGCUUUUAGGGCUUUUAGGGCUUCGGGCUUAGGGCUUUAAGGGUUUUAAGGGUAUUUAGGGAUAUGGGAUUUUAGGGCUUUUAAGGCAUUUAGGGAUUUUGGGGCUUUUAGGGCUUUUAGGGCUUAGGGUGUUUGGCUUAGGGCUAGGGAUUAGGGCUUGGGCUUUUAGGGCUCGGGCUUUGGGCGUUGGGCUUUUAGGACUUUUAGUGCUCUUAGGGCUUUUUGGGCGCUUAGGGAUUUUAGGGAUUAGGGCUUAGGGCUUAGGGCUAAGGGUUUGGGCUUUUAAGGCUUGGGCUUUGGGCUUUUAGGGCUUAGGGCUUUUAGGCCUAGGGCUUGGGCUUUGGGCUUUUAGUGCGCCUAGGGUCCUUAAUACGUUUAGGGCUUUUAGGGCACUUAGGGCACUUAGGGCUUAUGACUUUUAGUGUUUAGGGUUUAGGGGUUUAGGGUUUAGGGUUUAGGGGUUUAGGGUGUAGGGCGCUUAGGGCUUUUAGGGCUUUUAGGGCGCUUAGGGCUUUUAGGUUUUAGGGCUUAGGGCUUUUAGGGAUUAUGGCUUAGGGCUUUUAGGUUUUAGGGCUUAGGGCUUUUAGGGAUUAUGGCUUAGGGCUUAGCGCUUUUAGGGCUUAGGGCUUUAAGGGUUUUAAGGGUAUUUAGGGAUAUGGGAUUUUAGGGCUUUUAGGGCAUUUAGGGUUUUGGGGCUUUUAGGGCUUUUAGGCUUAGGGUGUUUGGCUUAGGGCUUGGGCUUUUAGGGCUUGGGCUUUUAGGGCUCGGGCUUUGGGCUCGUUGGUCUUUUAGGACUUUUAGUGCUCUUAGGGCUUUUUGGGCGCUUAGGGAUUUUAGGGAUUAGACUUAGGCUUAGGGCUUAGGGUUUGGGCUUUUAAGGCUUGGGCUUUGGGCUUUUAGGGCUUAGGGCUUUUAGGCCUAGGGCUUGGGCUUUGGGCUUUUAGUGCGCCUAGGGUCUUAACGUUUAGGGCUUUUAGGGCACUGAGGGCACUUAGGGCUUAUGACUUUUAGGUUUAGGGUUUAGGGGUUAGGGUUAGGGUUUAGGGGCUUAGGGUGUAGGGCGCUUAGGGCUUUUAGGUUUUAGGCGCUUAGGGCUUUUAGGUUUUAGGCUUAGGGCUUUUAGGUUAUGGGCUUAGGGCUUUUAGGUUUAGGCUUAGGGCUUUUAGGGAUUAUGGCUUAGGGCUUAGCGCUUUUAGGGCUUAGGGCUUUAAGGGUUUUAAGGGUAUUUAGGGAUAUGGGAUUUUAGGGCUUUUAGGGCAUUUAGGGUUUUUGGGGCUUUUAGGGCUUUUAGGGCUUAGGGUGUUUGGCUUAGGGCUAGGGAUUAGGGCUUGGGCUUUUAGGGCUCGGGCUUUGGGCUCGUUGGGCUUUUAGGACUUUUAGUGCUUUUAGGGCUUUUUGGGCGCUUAGGGAUUUUAGGGAUUAGGGCUUAGGUCUUAGGGCUUAGGGUUUGGGCUUUUAAGGCUUGGGCUUUGGGCUUUUAGGGCUUAGGGCUUUUAGGCCUAGGGCUUGGGCUUUGGGCUUUUAGUGCGCCUAGGGUGCUUAAGACGCUUAGGGCUUUUAGGGCACUUAGGGCACUUAGGGCUUAUGACUUUUAGGCUUUAGGGUUUAGGGUGUAGGGCGCUUAGGGCUUUUAGGGCUUUUAGGGCGCUUAGGGCUUUUAGGUUUUAGGGCUUAGGGCUUUUAGGGAUUAUGGCUUAGGGCUUUUAGGUUUUAUGGCUUAGGGCUUUUAGGGAUUAUCUUAGGGCUUAGCGCUUUUAGGGCUUAGGGCUUAGGGCUUUAAGGGUUUUAAGGGUAUAUAGGGAUAUGGGAUUUUAUGGCUUUUAGGGCAUUUAGGGCUUUUGGGCUUUUAGGCUUUUAGGGCUUAGGGUUUAGGUGGCUUAGGCUUACGGAUUAGGGCUUGGGCUUUUAGGGCUCGGCUUUGGGUCGUUGGGCUUUUAGGACUUUUACUCUUGGCUUUUUGGGCGCUUAGGAUUUAGGGAUUAGGCUUAGGCUUAGGGUUUGGGCUUUUAAGGCUUGGGCUUAGGGCUUUUAGGCCUAGGGCUUGGGCUUUGGGCUUUUAGUGCGCCUAGGGUGCUUAAGACGUUUAGGGCUUUUAGGGCACUUAUGGCACUUAGGGCUUAUGACUUUUAGGGUUUAGGGUUUAGGGGUUUAGGGUGUAGGGCGCUUGGGCUUUUAGGGCGCUUAGGGCUUUUACGUUUUAGGGCUUAGGGCUUUUAGGGAUUAUGGCUUAGGGCUUUUAGGUUUUAGGGCUUAGGGCUUUUAGGGAUUAUGGCUUAGGGCUUUUAGGGAUUAUGGCUUAGGGCUUAGCGCUUUUAGGGCUUACGGCUUUUAGGCCUAGGGCUUAGCGCUUUUAGGGCUUAGGGCUUAGUGCUUUUAGGGCUUAGGGCUUUUAGGCCUAGGCUUGGGCUUUGGGCUUUAGUGCGCCUAGGAUGAUUAAGACGUUUAGGGCUUUUAGGCACUUAGGGCACUUAGGCUUAUGACUUUUAGGGUUUAGGGUUUAGGGUUUAGGGGUUUAGGGUGUAGGGCGCUUAGGGCUUUUAGGGCGCUUAGGGCUUUUAGGUUUUAGGGCUUAGGGCUUUUAGGGAUUAUGGCUUAGGGCUUAGCGCUUUUAGGGCUUAGGGCUUUAAGGGUUUUAAGGGUAUUUAGGGAUAUGGGAUUUUAGGGCUUUUAGGGCAUUUAGGGCUUUUGGGCUUUUAGGGCUUUUAGGGCUUAGGGUGUUUGGCUUAGGGCUUGGGCUUUUAGGGCUCGGUUUGGGCUCGUUGGCUUUUAGACUUUUAGUGCUCUUAGGGCUUUUUGGGCGCUUAGGAUUUAAGGGAUUAGGCUUAGGGCUUAGGGUUAGGGUUUGGGCUUUUAAGGCUUGGGCUUUGGGCUUUAGGGCUUAGGCUUUUAGGCCUAGGGCUUGGGCUUUGGGCUUUUAGUGCGCCUAGAGUGCUUAAGACGUUUAAGGCUAUUAGGGCACUUAGGGCUUAUGACUUUUAGGGUUUAGGGUUUAGGGGUUUAGGGUUUAGGGUUUAGGGGUUUAGGGUGUAGGGCGCUUAGGGCUUUUAGGGCUUUUAGGGCGCUUAGGCUUUUAGGUUUUAGGGCUUAGGGCUUUUAGGGAUUAUGGCUUAGGGCUUUUAGGUUUUAGGGCUUAGGGCUUUUAGGAAUUAUGGCUUAGGGUUUAGCGCUUUUAGGGCUUAGGGCUUUAAGGGUUUUAAAGGUAUUUAGGGAUAUGGGAUUUUAGGGCUUUUAGGGCAUUUAGGGCUUUUGGGGCUUUUAGGGCUAUUAGGGCUUAGGGUGUUUGGCUUAGGGCUUAGGGAUUAGGGCUUGGGCUUUUAGGGUCGGGCUUUGGGCUCGUUGGGCUUUUAGGACUUUUAGUGUCUUAGGGCUUUUUGGCGCUUAGGGAUUUUAGGGAUUAGGGCUUAGGGCUUAGGGCUUAGGGUUUGGGCUUUUAAGGCUUGGGCUUUGGGCUUUUAGGGCUUAGGGUUUAGGGUUUAGGGUUUAGGGUUUAGGGUUUAGGGUUUAGGGUUUGGGGUUUAGGGUUUUAGGGUGUAGGGCGCUUGGGGCUUUUAGGGCGCUUAGGGCUUUUAGGUUUUAGGCUUAGGGCUUUUAGGGAUUAUGGUUAGGGCUUUUAGGUUUUAGGGCUUAGGGCUUUUAGGGAUUAUGGCUUAGGGCUUAGCGCUUUUAGGGCUUAGGGCUUUUAGGGAUUAUUGCUUAGGGCUCACCGCUUUGGCUUUGGGCUUUUAGUGCGCCUAGGGUGCUUAAGACGUUUAGGGCUUUUAGGGCACUUAGGGCACUUAGGGCUUAUGACUUUUAGGGGGUUUAGGGUUUAGGGUUUAGGGGUUUAGGGUGUAGGGCGCUUAGGGCUUUUAGGGCGCUUAGGGCUUUUAGGUUUUAGGGCUUAGGGCUUUUAGGGAUUAUGGCUUAGGGCUUUUAGGUUUGAGGGUUUAGGGCUUUUAGGGAUUAUGGCUUAGGGCUUAGCGCUUUUAGGGCUUAGGGCUUAGGGCUUUAAGGGAUUUAAGGGUAUUUAGGGAUAUGAGAUUUUAGUGCUUUUAGGGCAUUUAGGGCUUUUGGGGCUUUUAGGGCUUUUAGGGCUUAGGGUGUUUGGCUUAGGGCUUAGGGAUUAGGGCUUGGGCUUUUAGGGCUCGGGCUUUGGGCUCGUUGGGACUUUUAGGACUUUUAGUGCUCUUUAGGGCUUUUUGGGCGCUUAGGGAUUUUAGGGAUUAGGGCUUAGGGCUUAGGGUUUGGCUUUUAAGGCUUGGGCUUUGGGCUUUUAGGGCUUAGGGCUUUUUAGGCCUAGGGCUUGGGCUUUGGGCUUUUAGUGCACCUAGGGUGCUUAAGACGUUUUAGGGCUUUUAGGGCACUUAGGGCACUUAGGGCUUAUGACUUUUAGUGUUUUAGGGUUUAGGGUUUAGGGUUUAGGGUUUAGGGUUUAGGGUUUACGGUGUAGGGCGCUUAGGGCUUUUAGGGCUUUUAGGGCGCUUAGGGCUUUUAGGUUUUAGGGCUUAGGGCUUUUAGGGAUUAUGGCUUAGGGCUUUUAGGUUUUAGGGCUUAGGGCUUUUAGGGAUUAUGGCUUAGGGCUUUUAGGGAUUAUGGCUUAGGGCUUAGCGCUUUUAGGGAUUAGGGCUUAGCGCUUUUAGGGAUUAUGGCUUAGGGCUUAGCGCUUUUAGGGCUUAGGGCUUAGGGCUUUAAGGGUUUUAAGGGUAUUUAGGGAUAUGGGAUUUUAGGGCUUUUAGGGCAUUUAGGGUUUUGGGGCUUUUAGGGCUUUUAGGGCUUAGGGUGUUUGGCUUAGGGCUUACGGAUUAGGGCUUGGGCUUUUAGGGCUCGGGCUUUGGGCUCGUUGGCUUUUAGGACUUUUAGUGCUCUUAGGACUUUUUGGGCGCUUAGGGAUUUUUAAGGAUUAGGGCUUAGGGCUUAGGGCUUAGGGUUUGGGCUUUUAAGGCUUGGGCUUUGGGCUUUUAGGGCUUAGGGCUUUUAGGCCUAGGGCUUGGGCUUUGGGCUUUUAGUGCGCCUAGGGUGCUUAAGACGUUUAGUGCUUUUAGGGCACUUAGGGCUUAUGACUUUUAAUGCUUGGGGCUUUGGGCUUAGGGCUUGGGCUUAGGGCUUUUAGGGCUUUUAGGGCUUUUAGGGCUUUUAGGGCGCUUAGGGCUUUUAGGUUUUAGGGCUUAGGGAUUUUUGGGCUUUUAGGUUUUAGGGCUUAGGGAUUUUUGGGCUUUUAGGGCUUAGGGCUUAGGCUUUUAGGGCUUAGGCUUUUAGGGCUUGGGCUUUGGACUUUUAGGACUUUUAAGGCGCUUAGGGCUUUUAGGUUUUAGGACUUAGGGCUUUUAGCGCUUAGCGCUUUUAGGGCUUAGGGAUUUUAGGGCUUUUAGGCCUUUUAGGGCUUAGGGAUUUUAGGGAUUUUAAGGCUUUUAGGGCAUUUAGGGCAUUUAGGGCUUUUAGGUCUUUUAGGGCUUAGGGCUUUUAGGGUUUGGACUUUUAGGGCUUGGGCUUUGGGCUUUUAGGGCGCUUAAGGCGUUUAGGGCGCUUAGGGCUUGUGACUUUUAGGUCUUAUGGCUUUUAGGGCUUAGGGCUUACUUAUUUUCGGGCUUAUCGUUUAGGGUUGAGGGUUUAGGGUUUAGGGCUUUUAGGGCUUUUAGGGCUUAGGGCUUAGGGCUUAGGGUUUGGGCUUUUAGGGCUUGGGCUUUGGGCGUUUAGGGCUUUUGGGCUUUUACGACGCUUAGGGCUUUUAGGUUGUAGGGCUUAGGGCUUUUACGGCUUUUACGACUUUUACGACUUUUAGGGCUUUUAGGGCUGAGGUCUUAGGGCUUAGGCCUUAGGGUUGAGGGCUUAGGGCUUAGGGCUUAGGGCUUAGGGUUUAGGGUUUAGGGUUUAGGGUUUAGGGCUUAGUUCUUGUGCUUUUAUUGCUUAGGGCUUAGGGCUUGUAGGGCUUAGGGCUUAUGGCUUAGGGUUNNNNNNNNNNNNNNNNNNNNNNNNNNNNNNNNNNNNNNNNNNNNNNNNNNNNNNNNNNNNNNNNNNNNNNNNNNNNNNNNNNNNNNNNNNNNNNNNNNNNNNNNNNNNNNNNNNNNNNNNNNNNNNNNNNNNNNNNNNNNNNNNNNNNNNNNNNNNNNNNNNNNNNNNNNNNNNNNNNNNNNNNNNNNNNNNNNNNNNNNNNNNNNNNNNNNNNNNNNNNNNNNNNNNNNNNNNNNNNNNNNNNNNNNNNNNNNNNNNNNNNNNNNNNNNNNNNNNNNNNNNNNNNNNNNNNNNNNNNNNNNNNNNNNNNNNNNNNNNNNNNNNNNNNNNNNNNNNNNNNNNNNNNNNNNNNNNNNNNNNNNNNNNNNNNNNNNNNNNNNNNNNNNNNNNNNNNNNNNNNNNNNNNNNNNNNNNNNNNNNNNNNNNNNNNNNNNNNNNNNNNNNNNNNNNNNNNNNNNNNNNNNNNNNNNNNNNNNNNNNNNNNNNNNNNNNNNNNNNNNUGUACAUAAUAAUAUGUGCGGUUGCCUUUUUUAUCUCAAUUUUAAUCCCCUUUUUUGCCAUCUUCUACUGCCUUUUUUAUAUUAAUUUUAAAUCCCUCUUUUGGCCAUACACAUUUGUAUAAGAUUGUUUGAAAGCAAAAUAUGAUUGUUAGGUCAAGUAGAAAGCAAAGUCGGCAAGUUCUUAGAAUUCUUCACCCAACAUAACAGCCGAUAAAAACAAAACAAUACGACCAAGCUGCUUAGAGUUGCAGAACCGACCCCCGCCUAGUGGGUCACUAGAGUUCUUCACCCAGCAUGGCAGCCGGUAGAGAGGGAGAGAGAAAAAAAGGGAGCCAAGCCAGCCGCUUAGGUCAAGUAAAAUGCGCGAGAUCCCCGGUUUCAGAAUUUUCGUGGGAUCCUCUCCGCUUUUCUUGCCUAAGCAAAACCCGACCCGCCUAGUAGGUCCUUAGAGUUUUUCACCCAGCAUGGCAGCCGGUAGAGAGGGAGAGAGAAAAAAAAGAGGGAGCCAAGCCAGCCGCUUAGGUCAAGUAAAAUGCGCGCCGAGAUCCCCGGUUUCAGAAUUUUCGUGGGAUCCUCUCCGCUUUUCUUGCCUAAGCAAAACCCGACCCGCCUAGUAGGUCCUUAGAGUUUUUCACCCAGCAUGGCAGCCGGUAGAGAGGGAGAGAGAAAAAAAAGAGGGAGCCAAGCCAGCCGCUUAGGUCAAGUAAAAUGCGCGCCGAGAUCCCCCGGUUUCAGAAUUUUCGUGGGGAUCCUCUCCGCUUUUCUUGCCUAAGCAAAACCCGACCCGCCUAGUAGGUCCUUAGAGUUUUUCACCCAGCAUGGCAGCCGGUAGAGAGGGAGAGAGAAAAAAAAGAGGGAGCCAAGCCAGCCGCUUAGGUCAAGUAAAAUGCGCGCCGAGAUCCCCCGGUUUCAGAAUUUUCGUGGGGAUCCUCUCCGCUUUUCUUGCCUAAGCAAAACCGACCCGCCUAGUAGGUCUUAGAGUUUUCACCCAUCAUGGCAGCCGGUAGAGAGGGAGAGAGAAAAAAAAGAGGGAGCCAAGCCAGCCGCUUAGGUCAAGUAAAAUGCGGCCGAGAUCCCCCGGUUUCAGAAUUUUCGUGGGGAUCCUCUCCGCUUUUCUUGCCUAAGCAAAACCCGACCCGCUAGUAGGUUCUUAGAGUUCUUCACCCAUCAUGGCAGCCGGUAGAGAGGGGAGAGAAAAAAAGAGGGAGCCAAGCCAGCCGCUUAGGUCAAGUAAAAUGCGCGCGAGAUCCCCCGGUUUCAGAAUUUUCGUGGGGAUCCUCUCCGCUUUUCUUGCCUAAGCAAAACCCGACCCCGCCUAGUAGGUCUUAGAGUUCUUCACUCAGCAUGGCAGCCUGUAGAGAGGGAGAGAGAAAAAAAAGAGGAGCCAAGCCAGCCGCUUAGGUCAAGUAAAAUGCGUGCCGAGAUCCCCGGUUUCAGAGUUUUCGUGGGGAUCCUCUCCGCUUUUCUUGCCUAAGCAAAACCCGACCCCCUAGUAGGUCCUUAUAGUUCUUCACCUAGCACGGCACGGUAGAGAGGGAGGGAGAAAAAAAAGAGGGAGUCAAGCCAGCUGCUUAGGUCAAGUAAAAUGCCGUCGAGAUUGCCUGGUAUCAGAGCUUGCAUGGGCAACCUCUCCGCUUUAGAUGGAAUUUGAUGAAAUGCUUAUGUCGAAAGUAGGCAUUUCUCUACAGAGUCCUAAUGGUCAUAGAAAUUUAUUAUGUUUUGUAUUUAUUUUACUUUGUUGUCAAGAAUCAACUUCUUUUCUGAUUUGUAUGUUUAUGUAUAUGUUGCAUCUCUGUCUUGUUAUCAUGUUGUAUUUCAUUGUACUCAAUAGUCUGAUUUGCAUUUUUUAUUUGUGUUAAUAAGUGUUCGUGUAAUUGCAAUUUUGUUCUUGAAGAUAUUUUGCUUGAAUCAAGUUAGUUCUUUCUAUAAGGAUCAUUUUCUUGUAAGGUUAUAACUUCUUGUCCAAUUUUUCCAACUCACAUUUCAACUUGUAGCAGGUGAAUCCCUUCAAAUAAGAGCUUAAAAAGAAAAAACAAUUGGAACCUUUAACCAUAAAAUCAAGGUACUGCAUCUUAUUUGCAAUGAAUUGCUAUAAUUUUGUAGAGACUCCACAAAUAAAAUACUAAAUUACCCAAACAGUUGGCAAACAGAGACACACUCUGUAGAUCUUUAUUUAUAUAUAAAUGCCAAAAGAUACAGUAGAAGGAAAUAUAAAAGAAAGCAAUAAAGAUGAUAAUAUCAUGUCAAACCUCCCCAGGAAAAGAUAGUAGUCCUUCCUAGACCUAGCAGCCUCUACAGACCAAAUGAAGACAAAAAGUUAACCUAGCCCCCAAUCCCGAUAAGGCCUUAUUUAUAGCUCUUUUCUCAUUCUUCCCCGUGGGCCCCACUCUCAUGUUCUUUUCCUAAUAUUCUCCCCUUUUCUGCUGCGUGAGCUUUUACGUUUUUACCCUCCUUUUGUAUGUAUGGAUAAUAGGGGGCCUUACAAUACCCCUCGGUUCCAGGUUCACCUUGUCCUCAAGGUGAAAGUCAGGGAAUUGUUGGUUCAUUUGGAAAACAGAUUCCCAAGUUGUUUCACUGUCCGGCAGCCCUUUCCACUUAAUUAACCAUUCAUUUCCUCCCAAUUCCCGAUUCCAACGGACUCCCAACACUGUUUCCGGCCAUAAUUGUAACUCAAACUCUUCCGUUAGCCUAGGUUGCUGGUGUUGAACAGCUUGUUGACUACCCAGUUUCAGUUUUAACUGAGAAAUAUGGAACACAUUGUGGAUACUGGCUUCCGGCGGUAACAUCAAUCUGUACGCAACUGCUCCUAUUUCUUCAGUAAUUUUGUAGGGUCCGUAAUAUUUAGGUGCUAACUUUUCACACUUCUUCCGAGCCAAGGAGCGUUGCCGGUAAGGUCUCAAUUUCAAGUAGACUUCAUCUCCUACCUUAAAUUUUAACUCUCUUCUAUUUCGAUCAGCCAUUUUCUUCAUCCUGUUCUAGGCUACACACAGGUGUUCUUUUAAGGCAUUGAUGGCUAAGUCACGUUCCUUCAGCAGCGUGUCAACCUCAUUAUUAGGAGUUUUCUUGUAACCAUAGAUAACAGGGGAGGAGGCGGUCUGCGGUAUACCGUCUGAAAAGGGGUUAUUUUGGUGGAUGCAUGGAAGGUGGUAUUAUACCACAAUUCUGCCCAUGGAAUCAGUCUAUCCCAUUUUUUUGGUUGUUCAUUACAGAAGCAUCGCAGAUAAGUUUCGAGACAUCUAUUUACCCUUUCUGUCUGCCCAUCAGUUUGUGGGUGAAACGGCGGUACUCCUCUUUAGAAUAGUUCCAUGGUUGCAAACAGUUCCUUCCAAAAAUUACUAAGAAAGAUUUUAUCCCGAUCUGUGAUAAUCGACUUAGGAAUGCCGUGCUUGCUUACUAUUCUGUCGAUGAAUAUGGAAGCAACUUGCUUGGCUGAAAACGGAUGUCUCAAUGAUAUAAAGUAAGAAUACUUACUCAGCCGAUCAACUACCACCAUGAUCACAUUAACCCCUCCAGCUAGUGGCAACCCCUCAAUAAAAGUCCAUGGUCCAAUCUUCUAAGAUUCUGUCAGGAAUUGGAAUUGGUUGAAGUACCCCAGCUGGUUUGGUUGCUUCGUAUUUGUUUCUCUGGCAGAUCUCGCAUUGUUCCACAUAUUUCUUUAUUUCAGCCUUCAUACCCUCCAAUAUAGUUCUCCACUGAUCCUCUUGUAAGUUCUUAAAAAUCCAGAAUGUCCCCCGAGGAUAGAAUCGUGGAAAGUAUGUAGGAUCUUGGGUAUAAAAGAAGUUUGAGAUACUACCAUUCUCCCUUAUAGAAAACUUGAAACUUGCUUCCUUCUUCUGCAUUUUUCUUCAGAUUUUCCAUAAUUUUCUUAAGUUCAGCAUCAUUCUCAACUUCCUGCUCGAUUAGUUUCACAUCAAUGAUUCCAGUAGUUGUCAAGCUGUGCAGCUCCACCGGUUCUCCAUUCUAGAUAUCCGCUGCCUUGUUCUGAUGUCCGGUUGAUAUAAAAUCUCGAAAUCAUAUCCAAGGAGCUUUGUCAACCAUUUCUGGAAUUGGGGCUUACCUCUCUCUGUUCAAGCAAGAAUUUAAGAGCCUUUUGAUCUGAAAGUAUGGUGAACUUCCUGCCCAGCAAAUAAUGCCUCCAUUUUUGAACUGAUAGAACUACAGCCAUCAACUCUCUUUCAUAGAUGGAUUUGUUUUGAGCCCUUGUGGAUAACUUCUGACUGAAAAAGGCAAUCGGGUGGCCAUUUUGAGAGAUCACCGCUCCUAACCCUACGCCAGAUGCAUCAGUUUCGAUAAUAAAGGGAAUGUUCCAAUCUGGUAAUGCCAACACUGGUAGAGUAGUCAUUGCUAGCUUCAAAUUUUCGAAGGCAGUAUUUGCUUCUUCAUUCCACUUAAAAGCAUUCUUCUAUAAUAACUUGGUUAGCGGUGCAGCGAUCUCUCCAUAACCCUUGACAAACCUCCUAUAAUAUCCUGUCAGUCCUAAGAAGCCCCGCAGACCAGAUAUAUUCGUUGGUGGUGGCCAAUUAAUCAUCUUCUUGAUCUUAUCCUCAUCUGCCUCAACUCCUCUUUUGGAUAUCAUAUGUCCCAAGUACUGUACUGGAAUGGGCUAUAACGCAUUUUUUUUUGUUAGCAAAACAGCUGGUUAUACUUCAAAACAUUGAAUACCAUGCCCAAAUGCUUUGCGUGUUCAUCUAUAUCCGCACUAUAAACCAGUAUAUCAUCAAAGAACACCAAAACACAGCGCCGAAGGAAAGGUUUAAAUACCUUGGUUCAUCAAAGAUUGGAAGGUUGCCAGAGCAUUCGUGGAGACCAAACGGCAUUACUAGAAACUCAUAGUGCCCUUCAUGUGUGCGGAACACAGUUUUCUCCACAUCUUCCUCUUUCAUUCUAAUCUGGUGAUAACCAGAUUUCAGAUCUAAUUUCGAGAAAACCGUUGCCCUAUUCAGCUCAUCUAAUAAUUCCUCUAUCACAGGAAUUGGGAACUUAUCCGAUACUGUCGUCUGAUUUAACUUGCGGUAAUCGACACAAAAUCUCCAUCCACCAUCUUUUUUUCUUCACUAACAACACCGGGCUGGAGUAAGGGCUAUGACUAGGCGAAUACCCCUGCUUGAAGCAUCUCGACCACCAGUUUUUUUUUAUUCUUCUUUCUGCACAUGACCGUAUUUGUAAGGUCUUACGUUGAUAGGUUUAUGGUCAGGUAGGGUUAAUAUUCGGUGAUCAAUAGCUCUUUUUGGAGGUAAUUUUUCGGUGUCUCAAAUAUCUCCGCAUAAUACUUGAGCAGGGAUCGGAUCAUAGAUAUUUCCUCCUCAUCUCCUUUUAAUCUUGUCCCCAGUUCAUAUUCAUUCUCUACUUCCAUCUCAUAAUUCUGGAAUUCUAAGAGGAAGCCUUGGUCUUCUAUAUGUAAGGAUUCAACUUGCUUACUUCACUAUUUCUCCCUUACAAUGGCCAAAAACAGAGGUAGCCCUCUGCUAUCUUUAUUUAUAUAUAGCCAAAAUGAGUACAGAAAAACAUAAAGAUUCAAGAAAAACAAGGAAUAAUAAGACAAACCCAGCUUCCUCUAGGGAAAGACUGGAUAUUCCUCUAGGCUAAGCAGCCGCCAACUUCAGGAUAAAAAUAAAACCUACCUCCCCUAGACCUAAAAAACCUAUUUAUAUUCCUUCUCUCAUCUUUCUCUUAUUUCUGUGCCUGGGCCCCACCUGCACGAUCUCCUCCUCUUUUUCCUUCCUCAUUAUUAAUUUGUCCAAUUACUUUUCUGCCCCUCCUUUGAUAUGUAUGAAUAAUUGGAGGUCUUACACUAUAUCCCACGUUUUUUCCAAUGUCUUCAAAGAACAUUCAGGUUUCACUAAGGAUGGAUCUCCUCUUAACACGAUUUGCUUGUCUUUUGCCCAAAAGGUCAUGGUUAAUGAUGGCCAAUGUACCUUCAUUGUGCCGGUGGUAUCUAGCCAUUGCAUCCCUAAAAUCACGUCAAUAUUUCCUAGUUCCACCACUAGAAAAUCAGUUAUAACUGUCAUUUCUUUCAAUCUCAGUUCCACCUUUCUGCAAAUACCUUUCCCUUUACAGCGGGUCCCGUCUCCAAUAGUCACUCCAAAUUGUGUACCGGGUUCAAUGUUCAACCCUCCUUCCAUUGCCACUGCUUCAUGGAUGAAGUUGUUCGUAGCUCCACUGUCGAUGAGAAUCACCACCUCCCUUCCUUUUACAUGCCCCUUCAGUUUCAUUGUCCCUUUGGAUGUUAACCCCGUGAGUGUCUUCAAUUCAAUUUCGGUGGUUUCAGCAACAACUAACUGGUUCAGCUCCAUUACUUCUUCGGUCUCUUCCAUUUUGACUUCCUCCCCGCCACUCUCUUCUUCGUUAAGUAUAAAUAACAUUAAUUCCCUUUUCUCUCUCAUCUUGCAUCGGUGUCCCGGUGAGUACUUCUCAUUGCAUCUAAAACACAAACCCUUGUCCAAUCUUGCUCUGAAUUCCGUGUCCAAGAGUCUUUUAACUGGAGGUUCAUUUUUCUGGUAGUUUCCUUUAAUGGGAAUAGUGACUUGCUUCAUGGGGAACUCAGUCUUCUUUGGUGAACUUUUAUCUUGACUGCUUUGUCCCUUGCUUGAGCCUCCUCCUUCCCUAGUCACACUGUUUACCCAUUCUGCCUUGGCUAAUUUCAAGGCUAGGUUUCUGCCACUUACCAGUUGUGCCUCCUUCAUACAUUCCUCUAAGGUUUGAGGAUGUCUACUAAUAACUUCUGCUUGAAGAGCCGGUUCUAGACCAGUCACGAAUGCAUCUAAGAGCACGCUUUCAGCCAUGUGCAGUAGUGGUGCAGAAUAUUGUACGAAUUUCUUGACAUAUCAUUAUAGGAUCCAUCUUGUUCUAUUCGAAUCAGCCUUGCACCUAAGCUCUUCUGCCCAGAAUCUCGAAAAAAUUCAAACAUCCUUACCUUCAAAUCUUCCCAUCCUUCCACCUUCUUUCUAUGGUUACUCCAACGGUACCAAUCGAUUUCAUCUUGUCCGAAACUAACCACCUACUUUCACUUUUUCUGCUUCCGGUAGGCUAUUAAUUUCGAAAAAAUGCUCAGCUCUAAACACCCAUGACUCAGGAUUUUCCCCGGUGAAAAUCGGCAUUUCCAGUUUCUUAUAUUUGCUUCGGUCGACAGUUACUACAUUGUUUUCCCCUGGAUUGUCGGCUUCUUCCCAUUUUCCUUUUAACUUCAUGACUGAUCCAUCAGAAGUUCCGGAUUCAUCUCGCCUUUUGUAGCUGCUGUUUUCUUUCAUUUCAUCAGCCAGUCUAUCCAUGGAUUUCUUCAUUUCCAGAAUCAUUUCCUUCAAGCCCAGUAUUUCUUUCUCGUUCCAUCUAUUCUUUCUUCUAUUUGCCUUUGCGCCAUCAGUCGCGUCACCACCCCAGCGUUUGGGCUCUGAUACCAGUUGUAGAGACUCCACAAAUAAAAUACUAAAUUACCCAAACAGUUGGCAAACAGAGACAGCACUCUGUAGAUCUUUAUUUAUAUAUAAAUGCCAAGAGAUACAGUAGAAGGAAAUAUAAAAGAAAGCAAUAAAGAUGAUAAUAUCAUGUCAAACCUCCCCAGGAAAAGAUAGUAGUCCUUCCUAGACCUAGCAGCCUCUACAGACCAAAUGAAGACAAAAAGUUAACCUAGCCCCCAAUCCCGAUAAGGCCUUAUUUAUAGCUCUUUUCUCAUUCUUCCCCGUGGGCCCCACUCUCAUGUUCUUUUCCUAAUAUUCUCCCCUUUUCUGCUGCGUGAGCUUUUACGUUUUUACCCCUCCUUUUGUAUGUAUGGAUAAUAGGGGGCCUUACAAAUUUCUUCCAACACUAUGAAACAUUUAUGUUAUAGUUUUAUUAUUGUAAACAUUUUUGCUAAACAUCAUUGUAAUUUCCAAACACAACUCUGCCAAAGUUCCCAAGAUAGUUCUAUAGCAAUGUUCCACAGGCUAUCUUGCAAGUGAUGUGGAACUCCUUUGCUUUUUUGAAUAGUAAGCUGGCCUUCCUCUUUUGUUAUGCUUUGUUUUGUUCUUAAUACUUGCUUUUAUCUUCGCCUAUUUCAUUCCUAGUUGAUAUAUUACAUAGUCCUCUUAAAUCUACAUUCUUUUUCUGUUUUAUGAUUCGCUUGAGUUUAAUGACUAACUUUGGCAAAAUAAUGUUGAACUAUAUUACAUGUUUUGCAUCUAAACCUCAAUUGAAAAGGUUUGUUACCUGUAUCAUUAUAAGGUUUCCAUCCAUCUUUCUUAGGCCAUCAAUGAAGUUUUUGCUUAGAUCUAUCUUAGUUCGGCCUCUUUAAAAUGUUACUCCAUACAAGGAAGAUCGAAAGUUGUGAUUACAAAGUGUAGAUUUGUAUUGUAUAGUUGCCUUAGUUAUUUUUUUAAUUAUUCUUUUUAGACGUUAUUUCCUUUUAUAAUUAGUUCUCUUUAGUUAGAAUUUCUAUUAAAUUAUACUUGCCUAUUAUCAAGUCCUUUUUCAUUAAUAAGAGAAAAUGGAGUUUUUCUCAAAUAACAAAAAGUGAUUAUUUAAGAUACUAUGCUAAAGGGAACACAUCCAAUUACCAUGUUGAGAAUAUUAUCUUUGCCUAUUGAAGGUCUUGGAUUCUUGGUCAACUUUGAAUGCGAAUUUUUCUUAGUUGAUUAUUAAAUAUCAGGGUAAAAAGAUCUUAUAUUGUAAUGUUGUUUUGCUUCACUUGCAUCAUACACUAAAACACAAGAUUAAAAAAAAAGUUAUAUUUAGACUUUUGUAUGGUAGAUUAGGUGUUCUCUUUGAAUUGGUGUUGGUAUUGGCUUUCUAAUUAUGAUAUGAUUUUGGGAACCUUUGAAUUAUGUUCUUCAAACCUUCUCUCUUCGAUUGAAGCUUAUUAUAUUUUAUCGUUGUUAGUAUGUUUUUUUUUUUCCAUUUUUUCCCUUCUAAUAUUUUUAUUUGAUAUAUAAUGUGCAUAAAAGAGAAAGUAGUUAAUGUGUUUUACAUUGUUGUGUUGUGCAAAGUUGGUGCUGUUGGUUCAAAUAUUUAAGAUUUGGUGAAGCACUUGGAAUAAGUUCAAACUUUUAAUCUGUAGGAUAAUUUACUUUAUAAGAAUCACACAUUUACCUUUUUUUUCUUUUUUGAAGUAGGAAAGGAGCCUCUUCAUUAAGCUGAAAAUGAAUAGACAAGACAAAAGGUAAUACAAAGAAGCCCUAGGAUCAGUGAGUGCACUAGGACAUCUCAUCUAUGUUGACACCUACUUAGCAUUCUCACCAUAUCGAGACUUAAACCAAAAGACUAAACCAACGACAAGGUUUGGAAUAGAUCAUACAAACUGCCCAAUAACUAUACAACAUAGAUUUAAGACCACUAGAAAUCCAAAAGAAAUAAAAUAAGAGUACAGUAGUGGACUAAGAAUUAAAAAUGAAAGUCGGCCAAUUAUGACUUAUAUCUUGUAUGGAGAAAUCUUUGAAGUCUUUUGAAAGAGAGCAUCAAGAAGAAGCAUUGAUUCUAGCCAUUUCGACUCGAGUUGUCCAAGAGGAAGCUUUAUUUUAAAAUGUUAGCUGAUUAUGUUCAAACCAAAUUUCUGGUAAAAUGGCCUUCACUGCAUUUAACCAAAUCAAUCUUGGUUUCUUCUUGAGAAUGGGACAUGAAAUAAGCUGGACCGCGUUCUCCUAAAUCUAUAGUCGAAAACCCAAUUCAAAUGAAGAUAGCCAAGUAAGUCAAACCAACACUUCUUUUCAUGUAAGCAGGAGAAGAAAAUAUGAUGUAAAUCUUCUAAAGCAUGCAAACACAAGGGACAAAUAUUAGGAGAUAAACUGUGAGAGGAAGGUUUCAUUUGCAAAACUUCUGCACAGUUCAUAGUCCAUUUCGCUUUCUCCAAAGCGUGAUAUUCACUCUUCUAGGGCUUUUUGUCUUCCAAAUUGUCGAGUAUAAAUGUUUUUCAAUUGGGGAGGCAAUGGAGAGAUGCUUGACCAAUGAAUGAACCAAAAACCUCCCAUUUGAUUCUGAUUUCUAGGUUCUUUUAUUUUGGGAGGCUUGAAAUUCAUCUAUUUCUUCAACUUUUAGAAGUCUCCUGAAAUUUAGAGCCCAUGAAGUAGUGGAAGAGUCCCAAAACUCCUUUACAUCUCCAUUAUUAGAGUUCAAAGACAAUCUAAACGAUCUUGAAAAGAAACAACAUCUGCCCAAAAAUCAUUCCAAAAUGCUAUUCUUCAACCAUCACCGAACUUGAACAAUGCCUAGGAAUCCACUUGAAGCUAGCAUCUCGAAAUGCUAAUCCAGGGACUAUGGAGACUGCAAGUGACAAUUCCUUUAGUAUGCCAUCCAAAUUAACUUUCUCCAUGGAUACUCUUCACCACUUUAGCCCAAAGGGAAUUCUUUUCAUUUAUAAAUCUCCAUCCCCAUUUAGCAAGAAGGUUGCAUUUUUUUAACGUUGCACCAUCGACGCCGAUUCCACCAUCCUCUUGCGAACAAGACACCACCUUCCAAUUAAUCACUUUAUGAAUCAUCUUUUCUGGCAUUAAGAAUAUAGACAUAUAGUGUGUAGGUAUAUGUGAAAAAACCGACUUACAAAGUGUGUCCCAACCUCCACUAAAGAGACAAUAUCUUUUCCACUUAUCUAGUUUAACUUGGAUUUUAUCUAUUUCUUGAAAUUACAUAAGGAGUAGAGAGAGGGCUCCAAGCCGAAGCAGUUAUGGAAAACAUCUCCAAUUUACAGCAAGUUAAAGCAAAAAAAAAAAAAAAAAACCGCAGUUCAAAAAAACUGGGCAUCUUGCUUCCUUCUAAUUGAAAGUUCUGCUGUUUCUGUCAAGUCAAAUUGACCACAAAAUGCUCAAAUGAGAUUCUUCAAUAGGAAUACAUAAAAAAAAAAUAAUAUGUAAAAGAAUUUUCAAUGUUUAAUAUAAUAUGUAAAAUAAUUUUCUUAUAUUGGAAUUGGCAGAUGGCUGAGGGCCUUCGUGAAACGUGGGAGAGAAGCGAUAACAUUAUCGUUCAAAAAAUUCAGGAGUAAGUAUUUAUGUGAAAGGCCAUAUUAUUUGGCCAUUUGACCUUAUUUAUGAUUGAAUUAUUUGGAUGGAAAUGAUAAACUACACAUUAUUGUCUGCUUGAGUUGUGAUCUUGAUUAUGGGCUAUUUGGUAUUUUGCCUACAAACUGUAUAGUUAAUUAUCUGUUAGCUUUUGUUUUCCUGUCACAGCUUUAUGUUUCUGUGGCUAAUUGUAGCCAAAAGUUUUAUUUAUCGAUCUUAUUUUUCACAGCAUAAAUGAAACCGUGUUUCAAGCAUCAAAUGCUGCUACAUCAUUCAAGGAAAUUCGUCGUAGAGAUCCGUAAGUUUUUUCCUUUGGUGCUGUGAUACUAACCUGUUUGAAUAAAGGAAUCUGACUUGGUCUUUUCCUCUUUAACAUUAUGGAUUAGGUCUUUCUCUUUACCAGAUUUCGUAGUUGAACUUUAAGAAGCAAUCAAACCGGUGUUAACUUCUUAUAUAAAGGUUAGUGCUAACUGCUAAGCUUAUUUCUAAGAUGAAAGAUGCUUUUAUCCCCUCCCCAAAGAAUAUCAUUACUAUUUAUGUUGUAUUUCUGCUAACUAAUUCUUGCAUAGCAUCUGGUUUGAUAAAUAAAGUAAAGUUUCUGACAUGGAGGUUUUCAAGUUGGAAUAUAUAUUUAUGUUUUAGGUAGAUUCCCAAACUUUGAAGAAACGCUGCAGUACUGAGGUAAUUGAACGUUGUAAGGCAGAGCAUUGGGCUUACCGGAGCCAAGGUAUCUUCUUCGAUAACAAGUAAGGAUAGUCCUGAUACUACCUUUCUUUUGUUAUUGAAGUUUAUUGUUCCUUCUCUCUUGUUUGGUGGUUGUGCACCUAUAUUGAUUUGUACUUCUGUUAAUUAAUUAUAGUCCUUCUCUUGUUUGAGUAAUUAUUGUCUACCAUUUUGUUAGCAAAGGCUUCCCGUGGAAAUUUAGUUUGUUGUGCUGCAUGUCCAAGAUGAUUUUCGUGAUUUUAGUUUUAGAUACAUAAAAGGGAUUUUGCAUCACAACAUGAAUGACUAUUUCUAAAUAUGAACCUACAAUAACCCCAAAUGAAUACCUGAUUAAAUUGGAAACAGGGCAGAUAGAGAGUGAGAUGGAGAGUGUUUGUGUGUGCUUUAGAGUAGUUUUAAGCACAUUUUUUAGAUUUGUUUAACACUAAGUUUGUUUCACUUGCACAAUUGGUUGCCAUUUUAGGUCUCAAAGUGCAUUUUCACUCAUUUUGAACUUUUUGUUAGUUUGUGAGUUACGAACUUACACUUAAGCACUGUUAGGUCGUUUCAAACACAUUUUGUGUUUGUUUGGAACUAAGUUUGUUUAGACAUUUGAUUGACAUGUUGGGUCUCCAAGUGCUUUUUUCCACACUUUUUGAAAUUUUGGUAGGUUGUGAGUCACGAACUUACGCUUGAGUAUUGUUUGGUCCGUUUGAAAGCUUAGACACAUUUUGAACUCUUUUUAAGAUAACUUGAAACUAAGUUCAUUGCACUUACAUACUUCGUUGCCGUUUUGGGUCUUGAAGUACCUUUUUCACACUUUUUGAAAUUUUGGUAGGUUGUGAGUUACAAACUUACCCUUAAGCAUUGUUUGGUUGUUUUGAAAAUUCAAGUGAUAGUUACACACGUUUUGAAUACAUUUUAGGUUAGAUUGAGUUUGUUGCACUUGGUUGUCAUUUUUGGUCUUGAAAUGCUUUUUUCAAACUUUUUGGUAGAUUAUGAGUUACGAACUUACACUUAGGAUUUGCUAGGUCGUUUUGAAAACUCAAGUAAUACAUAGACACGUUUUGAGCACAUUUUAGGUUGGUUUGAACUAAGUUUGUUGCACUUACACACUUGGUUGCCAUUUUGGGUAUUGUAGUGCUUUUUUCACAAUAUUUGAACUUUUUUCGUAGGUUAUGAGUUACGAUCCUACACGUAAGCUGUUUUAGGACAUUUUGAAAGUUAAGUGAUACUUAGACACGUUUUAAACUCGGUUUAGGUUAGUUUGAAACUAAGUUUGUUGACCUUAUCCAAUUGGUUGCCAUUUUCGGUCUUGAAGUGCCCUUUUCACACUUUUUGAACUUUUUGGUAGGCUAUGGGUUACCAACUUACACUUAAACUUUGUUAGGUUGUUUUGAAAGUCCAAGUGAUACUUAGACACGCCUUGACCACUUUUUAGGUUGGUUUGGAACUAAGUUUGUUGCACUUGCGCACUUGGUUGCCAUUUUGGGUCGUGUAGUGUUUCCUUUUUUUCCAUACUUCUUGAACUUUUUGGUAGGUUAUGAGUGAUGAAUUUACAAAUAAACAUUCUUAGGUCGUUCUGAAAGUUCAAGUGAUACUUAAACACGGUUUGAAAUUUUUUUAGAUUUGUUUAAGACUAAGUUUGUUUCACUUGCAUACUUGGUUGCCAUUUUAGGUCUCAAAGUGCAUUUUUCACGCAUUUUGAUUUUUUUGUUAGUUUGUGAGUUACGAACUUACACUUAACGAUUGUUAGGUCGUUUUAAACACAUUUUGCGUUGGUUUGAAACUAAGUUUGUUGCACUUACACAUUGGAUUGAAAUGUUGGGUCUUGAAGUACUUUUUUUCACACUUUUUGAAAUUUUUUUAGGUUGUGAGUUACGAACUUACGCUUGAGUAUUGUUUGGUCGGUUUGAAAUCUUAGACACGUUUUGCACUCUUUUUAGGAUGGCUUGAAACUAAGUCCGUUGCACUUACAUACUUCGUUGCCAUUUUGGGUCUUGAAGUGCUUUUUUUACAGUUUUUGAAAAUUUGGUAGGUUGUGAGUUACAAACUUACACUUAAGCAUUGUUUGGUGGUUUUGAAAGUUUAAGUGAUACGUACACAUGUUUUGAAUACAUUUUAGGUUAGAUUGAUUUUGUUGCACUUGGUUGUCAUUUUUGGUCUUGAAAUGCUUUUUUCAACCUUUUUGGUAGAUCAUUACGAACCUACAUUUAGGAUUUGCUAGGUCGUUUUGAAAACUCAAGUAAUACCUAGACACGUUUUGAGCACGUUCUAGGUUGGUUUGAACUAAGUUUGUUACAAUUACACACUUGGUAGCCAUUUUGGGUCUUGUAGUGCUUUUUUCACACUAUUUGAACUUUUUUCGUAGGUUAUGAGUUACAAAUCUCAACGUAAGCUGUUUUAGGUCGUUUUGAAAGUUCGAGUGAUACUUAGACACAUUUUGUUCAAGUGAUACUGUUUUAGGUCGUUUUGAAGUGAACUUUUUUCUUCUUGUAUUGACUGUUUUACUAUUUCUUCAUGGUUUGUAUUCAUGGUAUUUAUUUUCGUAAUUGGGCAUCUUGCUUCUUUCUUAUUGAAAGUUUGGCCGUUUCUUUCAAGUCAAAUUGACCAGAAAAUGCUCAAAUGAGAUUCUUCAAUAGGAAUAUGUAAAAAAAAUAUAAUAUGUAAAAGAAUUUUUGUGAAACGUGGGAGAGAAGCGGUAACAUUAUCCUUCAAAAAAUUCAGGAGUAAAUAUUUAUGUGAAAGGACAUAUUAUUUGGCCAUUUGACCUUAUUUGUUAUUGAAUUAUUUGGUUGGAAAUGAUAAACUACACAUUAUUGUUUGCUUCAGUUGUGAUCUUGAUUAUGGGCUAUUUGGUAUUUUGCUUACAAACUGUAUAGUUAAUUAUCUGUUAGCUUUUGUUUUCCUGUCACAGCUUUAUGUUUCUGUGGCUAAUUGUAGCCAAAAGUUUUAUUUAUCGAUCUUAUUUUUCACAGCAUAAAUGAAACUGUGUUUGAAGAAUCAGGUGCUGCUACAUCAUUCAAGGAAAUUCGUCGUAGAGGUCCGUAAGUUUUUUUCCUUUGGAGAUGUGAUACUAACCUGUUUGAAUAAAGGAAUCUGACUUGGUCUUUUCCUCUUUAACAUUAUGGAUUAGGUCUUUCUCUUUACCAGAUUUCGUAGCUGAACUUUAAGAAGCAAUCAAACCGGUGUUAACUUCUUAUAUAAAGGUUAGUGCUAACUGCUAAGCUUAUUUCUAAGAUGAAAGAUGCUUUUAUCCUCCCCAAAGAAUAUCAUUACUAUUUAUGUUGUAUUUCUGCUAACUAAUUCUUGCAUAGCAUCUGGUUUGAUAAAUAAAGUAAAGUUUCUGACAUGGAGGUUUUCAAGUUGGAAUAUAUAUUUAUGUUUUAGGUAGAUUCCCAAACUUUGAAGAAACGCUGUAGUACUGAGGUAAUUGAACGUUGUAAGGCAGAGCAUUGGGCUUACCAGAGCCAAGGUAUCUUCUUCGAUAACAAGUAAGGAUAGUCCUGAUACUACCUUUCUUUUGUUAUUGAAGUUUAUUGUUCCUUUUGUUGGGGCUUGGUGGUUGUGCACCUAUAUUGAUGUACUUCUGUUAAUUAAUUAUAGUCAUUCUCUCUUGUCUGAGUAAUUAUUGUCAACCAUUUUGUUAGCAAAGGCUUCCCAUGGAAAUUCAGUUUGUUGUGCUGCAUGUCCACGAUGAUUUCGUGAUUUUAGUUUUAGAUACAUAAAAAGGGCCUUUGCAUCACGACAUGAAUGACUACUUUUUAAUAUGAACGUACAAUAACCCAAAUGAAUGCUGAAGUAAGUUUAUUGAUGUAUGUAAUUUACAACAAUCUUUUUGAACUUUUUGGUAGGUUAUGAAUUACGAACUUGUAUUGAAUAUUUGUUAGGUCGUUUUAAUAAUUCAAGUGAUGCUUAGAAAAUGCAACCGAGCUUAAACAAUUGUGCACAUUUUUCUAAAAUUUUUAGUUUAACCUCUUUAAUAAAAUUCGAAGGAAAUUUUGUUUCUUUUUGUAGGAAUAAAGGAAAAUGAAAUAUAACCAAACUUGGGAUCUUUGCAAGCAAGCUUCCAUGAAGAAACUAGGUUACAAGGGGAGGUCUUCUGUUCUCCUUUUUUUUUCUUUCCAUCCGUAGAAUCUUGCUUAAAAUGCUUUGAGGACAAUGCAAAUUUUUAAGGGGGGGGGGUUGUAGCCUUGCACAUUCCAUGUCCUUUGGGAAAUUUUCAUUUUGCAAAUUUUGCUAAAAAUGUCAAAAUUUAGAAACUUUUGCAAUGCUCUAUGCUUAGAAUAAGUACCAUGUCUACUUCGUUUUAGCAUAAAAAAGCAUAUAUGCCUAAACCCAUGAGAACAGAGCUCGGAUUUGUGAUUGUAUUUGUUAUUUGAAUAUGUUACAUAUGUUGAAAAAUGCAUAUAUUGAUAGCUUAGAAAUGAGUAGAACACUUGGUUCAUUUUCUGAAUAUUGUGAAUUAUGUACAUAAUAAUAUGUCGGUUGCCUUUUUUAUCUCAAUUUUAAUCCCCUUUUUUGCCAUCUUCUACUGCCUUUUUUAUAUUAAUUUUAAAUCCCUCUUUUGGCCAUACACAUUUGUAUAAGAUUGUUUGAAAGCAAAAUAUGAUUGUUAGGUUCUUAGAGUUCUUCACCCAACAUAACAGCCGAUAAAAACAAAACAAUACGACCAAGCUGCUUAGAGUUGCAGAACCCGACCCCCGCCUAGUGGGUCACUAGAGUUCUUCACCCAGCAUGGCAGCCGGUAGAGAGGGAGAGAGAAAAAAAGAGGGAACCAAGCCAGCCGCUUAGGUCAAGUAAAAUGCGCGCCGAGAUCCCCCGGUUUCAGAAUUUUCGUGGGGAUCCUCUCCGCUUUUCUUGCCUAAGCAAAACCCGACCCCGGCUAGUAGGUUCUUAGAGUUCUUCACCCAUCAUGGCAGCCGGUAGAGAGGGAGAGAAAAAAAAGAGGGAGCCAAGCCAGCCGCUUAGGUCAAGUAAAAUGCGCGCCGAGAUCCCCGGUUUCAGAAUUUUCGUGGGGAUCCUCUCCGCUUUUCUUGCCUAAGCAAAACCCGACCCGCCUAGUAGGUCCUUAGAGUUUUUCACCCAGCAUGGCAGCCGGUUAGAGAGGGAGAGAGAAAAAAAAGAGGGAGCCAAGCCAGCCGCUUAGGUCAAGUAAAAUGCGCGCCGAGAUCCCCCGGUUUCAGAAUUUUCGUGGGGAUCCUCUCCGCUUUUCUUGCCUAAGCAAAACCCGACCCCGCCUAGUUGGUUCUUAGAGUUCUUCACCCAUCAUGGCAGCCGGUAGAGAGGGUGAGAGAAAAACAAAGAGGGAGCCAAGGCAACCGCUUAGGUCAAGUAAAAUGCGCGCCGAGAUCCCCCGGUUACAGAAUUUUCGUGUGGAUCCUCUCCGCUUUUCUUGCCUAAGCAAAACCCGACCCGCCUAGUAGGUCCUUAGAGUUUUUCACACAGCAUGGCAGCCGGUAGAGAGGGCGAGAGAAAAAAAAAGAGGGAGCCAAGCCAGCCGCUUAGGUCAAGUAAAAUGCGCACCGAGAUCCCCCUGUUUCAGAAUUUUCGUGGGGAUCCUCUCCGCUUUUCUUGCCUAAGCAAAACCCGACAGCCUAGUAGGUCCUUAGAGUUUUUCACCCAGCAUGGCAGCCGGUAGAGAGGGAGAGAAAAAAAAAGAGGGAGCCAAGCCAGCCGCUUAGGUCAAGUAAAAUGCGCGGAGAUCCCCCGGUUUCAGAAUUUUCGUGGGGAUUCUCUCCGCUUUUCUUGCCUAAGCAAAAACCGACCCCGCCUAGUAGGUUCUUAGAGUUCUUCACUCAGCAUGGCAGCCUGUAGAGAGGGAGAGAGAAAAAAAAGAGGGAGCCAAGCCAGCCGCUUAGGUCAAGUAAAAUGCGUGUCGAGAUCCCCCGGUUUCAGAGUUUUCGUGGGGAUCCUCUCCGCUUUUCUUGCCUAAGCAAAACCCGACCCCGCCUAGUAGGUCCUUUUAGUUCUUCACCUAGCACGGCAGCCGGUAGAGAGGGAGGGAGAAAAAAAGAGGGAGUCAAGCCAGCUGCUUAGGUAAAGUAAAAUGCGCGUCGAGAUUGCCUGGUAUCAGAGCUUGCAUGGGCAACCUCUCCGCUUUUGAUGGAAUUUGAUGAAAUGCUUAUGUCGAAAGUAGGCAUUUCUCUAUAGAGUCCUAAUGGUCAUAGAAAUUUAAUAUGUUUUGUAUUUAUUUUACUUUGUUGUCAAGAAUCAACUUCUUUUCUGAUUUGUAUGUUUAUGUAUAUGUUGCAUCUCUGUCUUGUUAUCAUGUUGUAUUUCAUUGUACUCAAUAGUGUGAUUUGCAUUUUUUAUUUGUGUUAAUAAGUGUUCGUGUAAUUGCAAUUUUGUUCUUGAAGAUAUUUUGCUUGAAUCAAGUUAGUUCUUUAAGGAUCAUUUUCUUGUAAGGUUAUAACUUCUUGUCCAAUUUUUCCAACUCACAUUUCAACUUGUAACAGGUGAAUCUCUUCCAAAUAAGAGCUUAAAAAGAAAAAACAAUUGGAACCUUUAACCAUAAAAUCAAGGUACUGCAUCUUAUUUGCAAUGAAUUGCUAUAAUUUUGUAGAGACUCCACAAAUAAAAUACUAAAUUACCCAAACAGUUGGCAAACAGAGACAGCACUCUGUAGAUCUUUAUUUAUAUAUAAAUGCCAAAGAUACAGUAGAAGGAAAUAUAAAAGAAAGCAAUAAAGGUGAUAAUAUCAUGUCAAACCUCCCUAGGAAAAGAUAGUAGUCCUUCCUAGACCUAGCAGCCUCUACAGACCAAAUGAAGACAAAAAGUUAACCUAGCCCCCAAUCCCGAUAAAUAAAUAAGAGCUUAAAAAGAAAAAACAAUUGGAACCUUUAACCAUAAAAUCAAGGUACUGCAUCUUAUUUGCAAUGAAUUGCUAUAAUUUUGUAGAGACUCCACAAAUAAAAUACUAAAUUACCCAAACAGUUGGCAAACAGAGACAGCACUCUGUAGAUCUUUAUUUAUAUAUAAAUGUCAAGAGAUAUAGUAGAAGGAAAUAUAAAAGAAAGCAAUAAAGAUGAUAAUAUCAUGUCAAACCUCCCCAGGAAAAGAUAGUAGUCCUUCCUAGACCUAGCAGCCUCUACAGACCAAAUGACGACAAAAAGUUAACCUAGCCCCCAAUCCCGAUAAGGCCUUAUUUAUAGCUCUUUUCUCAUUCUUCCCUGUGGGCCCCACUCUCAUGUUCUUUUCCUAAUAUUCUCCCUUUUCUACUUCGUGAGCUUUUACGUUUUACCCCUCAUACGGCCCAUAAAAUUUUGGGGAUAGCUUUUCACAUUUCUUCCGAGCUAGUGAUCUUUGUCGAUAGGGUCGUAGUUUCAAAUACACUUCAUCCCCAAUUUUGAAUUUGAGCUCCCUGCGGUUUCGGUCUGCCAUUUUCUUCAUUCUAUUUUGAGCUAUGCAUAGGUUUUCCUCCAGUGCAUUGAGUGCUAAAUCUCUCUCCUUCAACAUGACUUCUACGUCAUUGUUAGGAGAUUGCUUCCAUCCAUAUGACAGCAGUGGCGGGGGAGUUCUUCCAAAAACAGAUUGGUAAGGAGUAGUUUUGGUGGAUGCGUGGAAGGUUGUGUUAUACCAUAAUUCCGCCCAAGGGAUCAGUUUAUCCCAUUUCUUCGGUUGUUCAUUGCAAAAGCAUCUCAAAUAGGUCUCUAGGCAUCUGUUUACCCUCUCGGUUU